AAAACAUAGAGAAUUUCACAUGCGCAUUCAAAAACCGAUUGGAUCUGAAGAACCCUAGAAUUGCGAGAUCCAGAAAUCUUCUCCGACGAAGGUGAGAAUGACGAAUACGGGAUGAAAACCCUAGACCUUGCGCAGAGAGAUUUAGUGAUUGUUCGAUCUGUAGGGGAUUGAAGGAUUUGCAGAUCAGAUGCGGAACAUUGAGAGGAGGAGGGAGCCCAUUUGAUCCGAAAAACGAUUCAGAAGCUGGCGGUGCUAGGAUUUAGGAACGAGGUGAGUUUUGGAAGAAAAAUUGAAUGGUUUAAUUGAACCCAAUACCACGUGAGUUAGAGCCUGUUUGGAUGGGCUUUUAAGCUGGUCAAACUGGCUUAAAAGUCAGUUUUUGACUUAUUAGAGUGUUUGGUAAUUAUCAAAGUGACUUAUUUUAAGCCAAAAGCUAAAAAGCUCGGUGAGGGGAGUUUCUUUUUUUUUAACUUAAAAGCCCUUUUAUGUUGACCAAGUAUAUUACCUUUUGUCCUUAAUUCUUUUAUACAAUUCUCAAAUUGCCCAUAUUGAAUUAACCUUAACAUGUUAUUAUUAUAUUAUUAUUAUUAUUAUUAUUGUUAUUAUUAUUUUAUUUUUUUUAUUAUUAUUAUUAUUAUUAUUAUUCCUCUUAUAAAUAAUUUGUGGUGGUAAAGAAAUAUGUGAAUGAUAGGAAAAUAUUAUUACUUAUGGAUGUAAAAUAUAAAUUUAUUUUUAAGUAUAAAAACCUUAAAUUAAUCAACUUUUUAUCAUGUUAACAUCUUAAAGGGUAUUUCAGACAUUUUAAUUAAAAAAAAAUGUUUACCAGCACCUAUUUGCCAAACACAUCAACAACUUUUUUUUCAACUGCAGCACUUUUAUCCAAACACAUAACUACUUAUUUUUAAAAUAAGUUCCAGCACUUUAAAAAGUUACUUUUUUUAAGUCAAUCCAAACGGGCUCUUAAAAAUGACUACUUUCGAUUUUAUUUAGGGCCUGUUUGGAAGAACAUUCUAGUAAUUGAAUUUGAUGUAAUUACACUGUCUUGUCCUGUUUAGAAGCACAGGUAAUUACUUGGUCAGCAGGUAAUUAGUGUAGUUGACAUGGGGUAAUUACACUCUACAAUUCACAGGCAGAUGCUGUGAAUUGCUGGUAAUUACAUGGUGUAAUUACCAUGUAAUUACCACUUGAUUAUUUUUCAUUUUUUUUAAUUUCUAUUUUUAUUUUUUUUGUUUUAAUUUUUUUACUUCUAUUAUUUUAAUUUCUUUUUAUUUUUAUUUUUCUAAAAAAAUUGUAAAAGUCUAUUUUUUAUUUUAUAUUAUUAUAUUUCAUUUUAUUCUUUUCCUCAACCUUACUUUACGUGAUUCUAUGUAAUUUUCUCGUAUUAUCUAUUUCUUUAUGCCAUGUUUAUUUUUUCAUUAGCAUAAUUUUAAUAGUAUUCUAAUUUUUAAAUUAAAAUAGAAUUUAUUGUUAAGUAAGGUUAUAGUACGUGUUUUCUUUAUUAUGAAGAAAUAAAAAUAAAAUAUAUUUAUUGCUAUGUUGAAAUUUGUUAUAAGAGUAUGAUGUUAAAUUUUUUGUUUUUAAUUUAUUACUUAUGUUAUAUUUUCGGUUUCAUUUGUUUUAGUAAUAUUGAAUUUACAUUGCACGUCAUUUUUUAAUUAGACUUGAUAGAUUAUAUUUUUGUCAAACAUUUAAUAAUUUAUGAUAUUUUAUUUAUAUAUUACUAUUCUUUUUAUCAAACAUGCAUUUCACAAUGUUCGUAGAAACUUCAUACUUUUAGUUGUUACGAUCAAUUCAAUUGAAAUAUAUUAAUUUGAAAAAAUAUAAAUCAAUUAUUUUUCAUAAUAUUAGUUACAGUAAAUAUGUUUAUUAAUUAAUAUAUUUUCAAAAAAGAAUAUAUAUCUUAAAUAUUUAAUUUAAUGUCAUUUAUAAAAUUUCUUAUUUGUCUAGUAUAAAUUUAAAAUGAUUAAUUUUUAUUUUUAAAAUUUAUUAUAAUUUUAUGAUUGCAAUUGUGCAUCCAAACAGAACAUGUGUAAUGACACUGUGGCAUCCAAACAGGACAUGUGUAAUUACAGUGUAAUUACACUGUGGCAACCAAACAGGUCAGUGUAGUUAUUAGACUGUGUAAUUAUUAGGCUGGUAAUUACUACCCUAGUAAUUACACCAAUUCCAAUUACAUGGUGACUUUCCAAAAAGACCCUUAUUGUCCAGUCUAUUAUUCAGUAGUUAUAUUGAAGUUUGAUUGAAUUAUUCGUAUCGAACAGAGCCUAUUUGAUUAUGUACAUAUUCAAAUCUCUGAUUAAAGAAAGAUUAGUUUCAUCUACUGCACCACAUUCCGACUACUUAUGAGUUGAAUACGGGGGACUCUCCGUCUAAGUGGUUAAUCCAACGAGUCAAUUCUCAAUGCGAUGCAUCCGUGAAAUGGGACGGAGAUCUGCCCGAACUUAGUCCAGUCCUAUUAAAGAUGGGGUGAAUCAAGCAACUCUUAUAGAUAGAUGGGAUAGGAAGGUAAGAACCACUGAUAGCAUUUGCAGCUGCUUCUUUCCGAUCGAUAUACAAGCAGUUGGGCGUGAAGCUUUCUUCGUGAAAAAGCUCGUCCUUGUCAAUAUAGGAAAUGAAGAAAAUGAUUUUUUAAAAUAAAUUAUUUAUGCAUAAAAAUAAAUUUGUAAAAAAUGACUCGAAAUGACUACUUUCGAUUUUAUUUUUUUUCCAAUCUAUUGUUCAGUAUUUACAUUGAAGUUUGAUUAAAUUAUUCGUAUCGAACAGAGCCUAUUUGAUGUUACUUAUUUUGUCGUAAUUUAUAUGGCAAAAAUGAAAUUUGGAAAGUCACCCAAUUUUUUACAUAUUAAGUUGUCAAUUAUUGUGAUUUAUAAUAUUUAUAUAAUUUUUAAAUAAUAUGUUACUCUUUUGGUCCUAAUUUAUGUGGCAUGGAUGAAAUUUAGAGAGUCACUCAAUUUUCUUAUAUAAUUUUUAAUUAUUUUAAGUCAUAACUUAUAGUAUUUUACGUUUAAAAAAAUGUAAAAAUUUGUUCAUAUUUAUUAAUGAAAUGAUUUAUAGCAGCAUAACUAUUUAUGAUUUCUUUUGAGACACAAGUAUAGAAAUAAUUUUAUUUAUUCAAUUUGAGAAAUUAAAAAAUAAUUUAUUACUUAUAACUUAAUUUAUGUUUGUUAUUAACUAUAAUUAUUCUCAUUCUAUUUUUCAAAAUAUUGAAUUUAUUAUAUAAAAAGAUAAUAUAAUAAAGUUAAUGUUUUAUUUACUAUUCCUUAAAUUAUGUUAAAUCAAUAACAAACAAUUAAAAAUCGGCGGAGGAAAUACUACAAUAAUGUCACAUUUAUAAGUUAGACUAGAUUAGGCCUACCUGUGCUAAUGCACUAGCCCAACACAUGAACACUCGAGACUUUUUUGGAGUGCUUUGCGGUAAUCAUUUAGUCACUCGAGAAUUUAAUGUUGACUUUGCUAUGGACAUUUAAAUUUCUUCCAUUUUCAUAGUUCAUACAAACGUUAUAAGAAAUAACCACUCUAAAUACUAUUUUUACAAAGAUUGUCUAUAUAUAUUUCUCUCUACAUUAAUGAAUAUUAAAAUCUCUCCAACUCAUCUGGCAAGGACAAAACAAACAUCUUGUUGAUCUUCAAUGCAACUGUUGUUUGUGUGUACCCUUCUCAUCUCUUACAAUCAAUCAACACAAGAAAAUCUAUUAAUAUAAUAAAUCACAACCACUAUUUGAAUAGUUCAUUUUAGUGACGUGAUCAUAUACAUUUUAAGUGAGAUAAAUAAUGUACAUGCUCCUGAAUAACACGGGGAAUCGAAUCAAGAGAAAGAAGAUUCUAUAAAAAUGAGAGUCCGGAGCCGAAAGGACAAAAAAAAUUGUCAAAAAUUUCAAAAGGGCCCAUCAAUUUUUUUUAAAACCAAAAGGGCAAAAUCGCUCCUGACGGAGCGAUUUCCCUCUGACACAAUGACAAUAAAUUGUUGCCCUAACAACGAUUUUGUCUAAAAACUUUUUUUUUUUUUUAAUUAAAAAUCACUGCCACGGUAGCGAUUUUAAGUCAGAAUUUUUUUUCCCUUACAUCGCUUCAGGGGCAGCGUUUUUCAUGCCUAGUGCUAUUAUUUUCAUGCCUAUUCAUGUCUAUUGUUAAUUAUUAAUAUUAAUAAUAUAAAAAUGUUAAACAAGACGGACAGUAUACUCAUUAAAAUUAUUGAAGCAUGAGGGAAAUUGAAUUAUAUAUCAUAAAUAAUAAUAAAAGAAUAUUGAAUUAAAUUUUUUUUUUUUUUUAAAUUCUUAAUAUAGCAGCGAUUUUGAAGAAAAGAAGAUUUUUUUUUUGAGAAAAUCGCUGCUAAGGCAGCUAUUUUUAUUUUUUUUAACGUACGACAACUAUAGCAGCGAUUUUGUUCAAAUUCGUACAAAAUGAAGUAGAUUUUGUAGGUAUGACUUUUAACACAAUAACCAAAAUGCACGUUCUAGCUAAUUAAAAUCCAAAUUAAAGUCAUUAUUAUUAGUUUCUAUACUUUCAAGUUUUUUUUCCCCCUUUUGCUUUUCCUCUCCUCUAAUAUAAUUUACCUUUUCAACAAUUUCUUUUAACUCUAUGUCGGAGAUUUUCAUGCUAAAAUCUCGCUAGGGAUACUAUAUCACUAUAAUAAAUUAAGUGCCUUAACAGAGAUUUUCUUUUAACUACCUUAGCAGCGAUUUUCUCAAAAAAAAAAAUCUUUUUUUCUUCAAAAUCGCUGUUGGUUAAGAAUUUUUUUUUUAAUUCAAUAUUCUUUUAUUAUUAUUUAUGAUAUAUAAUUCAAUUUUUCUCAUGCUUCAAUAAUUUUAUUGAGUAUACUGUCUGUCUUGUUUAUCAUUUUUAUAUUAUUAAUAAUUAACAAUAGACAUGAAAAUAAUAGCACUAGGCAUGAAAAACGCUGCCCCUGCAGCGAUAUAAGGAAAAAAAAAUUCUUACUUAAAAUCGCUGUUGUGGCAACGAUUUUUAAUUAAAAAAAAGAUUUUUUUUUGCAAAGGCAGCGAUUUUUAAUUUAAAAAAAAAAGAAAAUUUUUUUUUAGACAAAAUCGUUGCCCUGGCAGCGAUUUUUCGUCAUUGUGUCAGAGGGAAAUCGCACCGUCAGGAGCGAUUUUGCCCUUUUGGUUUUAAAAAAAUUUGAUGUGUUCUUUUGAAAUUUUUGACAAUUUUUUUUGCCCUUUUGGCUCCGGACUCAUAAAAAUGAACUCAUCUUCCCUAAGUUAACUUUGAUGAGGCAAAAUUUUAAGGGCCUGUUUGGAAGGACACCCUGGUAAUUGGAUUUGGUGUAAUUGGUGUAAUUAUAUUGUCUUGUCCUGUUUUACAGGACAAGUAAUUACUUGGUCAGCAGGUAAUUGGUGUAAUUGACAGGGGGUAAUUAUACUCUACAAUUGACAGGCAGAGACUGUGAAUUGCUGGUAAUUACAUGGUGUAAUUACCACAUGAUUACUUUUUAAUUUUUUUAUUUCUAUUUUAAUUUUUUUUACUUCUAUUAUUUUAAGUUAUUUUUUAAAUUUUAUUAUUCUAAAAAUUUGUAAAAGUUUAUUUUUUAUUUUUUAUUAUUAUAUUUCAUAUUCUUCUUAUUAUCAACCUUACUUUACAUGAUUCUAUGUAAUUUUUUCGUAUUAUCUAUUUCUUUAUGCCAUGCUUAUUUCUCAUUAGCAUAGUUUUAUUAUAUUCUAAUUUUUAAAUUAAAAUAGAAUUUAUUGUUAAGUAAGGUUAUAAUAGACUUACGUUUUCUUUAUUAAGAAAAACUAAAAAUAAAUCAUAUUUAUUGCUAUGUUGAAAUUUGUUAUAAGAGUAUUAUGUUAAAAUUUUGUUUUGAAUUUAUAACUUAUGUUAUAUUUUCAGUUUCAUUUGUUUUAGUAAUAUUGAACCUUCAUUGCACGUCAUAUUUUGAUUAGAGUUGAUAGAUUAUAUUUUUGUCAAACAUUUAAUAAUUUAUGACAUUUUAUUUAUUUAUUAUUAUUUUUAUCAAACAUGCAUUUUACGAUGUUCGUAGAAACUUCAUACUUUUAGUUGUUACGAUCAAUUCAAUUGGAAUAUAUUAAUUUGAAAAAAUAUAAAUCAAUUAUUUUUUCAUAAUAUUAGCUACAGAAAAUAUGUUUAUUAAUUAAUAUAUUUUCAAAAAAGAAUAUAUAUCUUAAAUAUUUAAUUUAAUGUCAUUUAUAAAGUUUCUUAUUUGUCUAGUAUAAAUUUUAAAUAAUUAAAUUUAUUUUUAAAAUUUAUUAUAAUUUUAUGAUUGCAAUUGUGCAUCCAAACAGAAUAUGUGUAAUUACAGUGUAAUUACACUGUGGCAACUAAACAGGUCAGUGUAAUUACCAGACAGUGUAAUUACUAGGUUGAUAAUUACUACCCUAGUAAUUACACCAAUUUCAAUUACCAAAUGUCUUUCCAAACAGACCCUAAAAAUGAAUUGGGGAAGAUCUCAAGAAAAGAUAAGCUUUGUAAAUAUUUAGACAAGAAAUUUAUCCGUACUUCCAAUAGUAGUCAACAGUAGUUACCUCAUUCAGUUAGCAAAUCGUUGGGCACUCACAUAAAUGAAAUUAGUUUUCUGAACCUUUUAAGCACUUUUGGGUUUGACCAUGCAAGAAAAACAAGAAAUGUCAAUACUUUUGAUUAUGUUCGUUGAUCUAUCGUAACAUUUGUGUCUAUCAAUUUCCCACCACUUGUUUGCCUUCACCAACAGUGUGUACACCUUUUCAGAUACAUAUAUGAUAGCGGGGGAAAUAGCUUAGUAAGAUAAGAGUUGAAGAGAAAUAAUCACCAAAAAUAAAUGAAAAUUAAACAUAGUCUGAGUAUGUGUUAGGGGAAGCAAGAUGGUCUCACACACGUGCACUUCCCUCAAGUAUUCAACUACUAUUGUGAAUAGGUUAUAUAGAAGGCUAGGUUGGUUAUAUACUAUUUUUCACCAUCAUAUUGAUUCAAACUUCUAAUUUAUACGGAACUUACCGCUUAUACUUAAAGUAUUGUAUAUCAUUCUCCACCUCAAGUAUAUUGGACUUGUAAAAUUUUGUGAAUUCAAAUUGUGCGAUUAUUAUAUUAUAACUCAAUAAAGAACGAUUGUGCAAUCUUAACAUUUAAUUGUUUUUAAAAAAGGAAACAGAUUUAUAAAUAUGUAGUAUAAUUAUUUUGCAUUAUAACUAAGAAUACAGAAUAAAAAAGUGUAGAACUUACCUCUCAAACUACUUUGGACUCUGUUUCAAUCCAUAUGAUGUCCCGUAGAGCAUUAUAUUCCAUCCAAAUAAGUCAUACAACCACGUCAAAUGAAAAAAAGUAGAAGUAAAUAAAAAAAAUCAUACUUUUAUUAUAUUACCACCAAACUCUUAACUCAAUGAGUAUAAAGAAGAGAAUUCGAUUUUCAAUCAGUUAGAAGCACAACAAUUCAAAAAUAUAAGAAUAAAGCAAUGAGGAAUUACAAUAAUUUUAUAAAGUACUUAAGACUGCCACUAAUUAAUUUCUAUUAAAAUGUCAAUAUAAUGAAGGCUCAAUGUUAGGGAACAAAUGUGAAAAGAGACGAGAAUUAUUUUUCAUUUGGGUCAAACAUAUCAUCAAACAUCUUGAGUGCAGUGUCACUCUAGUAGUAAUAGAAACAGUUACUACUGCAUAUGAAAUAUUGAAAAUUAUUCAAUAUUAAUUUUUAAAAUAAAGAAGCAUAGAAAAAGGGUCUAAAAUGCUCCUCAACUAUUCGAAUUGGUACAAAACUAUCGUUCAUCCACCUUUUGGCCCCCAAAUAUCCCUGGCAUCCACCUUUUGAUUCAGAAAUACCCUCGAUAUCAACUUUCCGUCCAUAAUUAAAUUGAGUUUAAUAAAUUAAAGUACCAAUUAAAAAACCAUUAAUUAAAAUUUAUAGAGUAAUUUUAAGGCAAUUAAGUAACUUUCCAUUUUGAUGAAAAAUAGAAUAUAAUUGUCUAUCUUAUAAUUUGGACAUGUCUAUAUCUAAUAAAGUGAUUUAAAAAUUAUGAUAUGCAUAAGCAUGAUUAAUUGGCAUGACACAUAUCACGUUGCAUGACUCAUGUCAUACAUAAGGGACAUGUAUCGCAUAUGUAGAGUUUUGGGCUAAAUUCAUCCCUUAACUAUGACUAAGACUUAAGUUACAUCCUUGUACUAUAAUAGUUAACAAGAAACAUCAUUUUAGUAUUUAAAAUAUAACAAUUUUUUUUUAUUUUGUCUAUUUCAAUUAAAAAACUAACGUUUCUUUUCCUAAAAGUUAUUUCUCUCUCCCAUCUCCCUAUUUUGCCCCUUUCAAAUCUGUCCCAUCGUCUUCCAUAUUCAGCAAAAUAAAGAAGGAAAUUCAAUUUUUUCUGAACUUCACAAAAUAAUCAAGAUAAAAAACAAACUUCUCUCUUCAACAAGAGUUGAAAACAGGGCAGAGGGCUGGCUAUACACAAACAAGGUAAAUAAUAAAGAAAGAUUUGACACUUGACGUUUUUUAAUUCGUUUUUGGAAGUAAAAGUUUCCAUUCACGCGCUUCAUUUGCGUGAAAACAAACAUAAGGAGAAAAAGGACCAGAAUAGUCUAUUUAUAAAGGUAUUUAAAAGUUUUGUGGGGUAAUAGGACACUCGCAUAAUUAAAGUGUUUUUGAAAAUUCGAGACAACUUCAGGUGUCACUUUAUGUCUUUUCUCUUCAAGAAAAUGUAAUAGAUUUAGAGAUAUAUUCUUGAUAAAUGUAAUGUGUUAUAUGAUAUAUAUUUUUAAAGCAUUUUUAAAAAUAAUUAAAAUGCUAGGGUUCUAUUUAAAUGAUGAGAGAAAUAAUAUAAAUGAUUGAUUACAUGUGCAAACAAAAAAACGAGAAGCUCAAGGAGAACAAAAGAAAUAGAUAUCUUCUAAUACUCAUUUUUUGAAUAACAAUCAAUAAACAUCAAGGUAAGAAGAAAGACUAAUUAAAGAUUCACACGCAAGCAAAAUAAUCAUAUUUAUUGAAGAUUAAGAUGUUAGAACAACAAUUAAGAAGAGUCGAAAUAAGCACCAAAUUCUCAAGUUUUUUCAAAAUACUAGUAAAAGACAACAAAUACCAACAAAUCAAAUUAAAAAUCAUCCCAAUUGCUUUAUAGGUAAAUAUUAAACUUUUUUUCGAAAAAGAUCAACCAAAUUCAUUUUUUCAACGAUCAAAUCUCUUGAUGUUAUCUUUCUCAAGAACAUGAACGAGCAGCUCACGAGCCUAUUUAAACUUUGUCAAAGAAAGAAAGCAAGAUAUAUUUUUGUCUAAAUCUUCUGAAACUCAUUUGUUAUAUUGUCAAUAAGGCUGUAUUUCACAUUAUAUUUGUUACUAUUCAAAGAGAGAAAGGAAGAUAAAUUUGUCGGUGAGACAUUAUAUGAGAAAUUAUAAGAAAAAAUUGAAUAUAGACAAAAUAGUUAUACACUCUAUUAUUCACUACAACACAUUCGAUUAUCAGGGACGAAUAAUUUCGUCAUUUAUAAAUCAUAUUUCGUCACUAAAAAUCUUGUGAGAUGAAAAAUAAUUCGUCAAUCAGUCGUCACUAAAUGUGUGUCGCUAAAAGUAUACAAAAUGGAUUUAGUGCUUCGUCACUAAAAGUACUAUAUUAACUACAAAAUGAAAAAUCGUCCCCAAAUGCUUAAACAUUUGUGACAAAUUUAUUUGUUCGUAAAAAGUAUAUUUUUUUUGUAGUUAAUAGUAUGCUUUUGUCACUAAAAAAGUUAUUACUACCGACAAAAUUAUAUCGUCACUAAUUAUUUUACUUCAAUCAGUGACGACAUCAAUUGUCUCUAAAAUUAUAUGUAUUUCGUAGUCGAACAAAAUCUAAUUUCGUCACUAAUGACUAUAUUUUAUAUACAAAAAAUUAUUUUGUUUUUAAAUGCAUUAAUUAGGGAUAGAUUUAUUAUUAUAAAAAAGGUUAAUUUUUCCAAUUAUCCUCCCAUCUCAAUUUUCUUUAACCCCUCCCCAGGAGCUCCCAAAUUAUGAUUUCCUGGGGACUCGAACUCACAACCUUAAGGGAAGUGAGGAGUGCUUACCAUCCGAUCAACUCUCUCUUGUCACUACAAGAAAUCAGCUCUUUUGUGGCGACCAAAGUCGCUACUGAUGCCCUGAAAAUCGCCACAAAUUUCUUUUAGUGGCGACUUUACAGCCGUGGCAAGUACUUCCAUAACUAAAUGUUUCUUGUGACGACUUCUUGACGUCGCCACUAAAACAACCUUUUGUAGCGACAAAAGUCGCCGCUACAAUGUAGCCAAGUAUGCCACAAAAAAAGCUUCGACAAAAUAUAUGUUAAGUAAGUCGCCACUGAAGUAGGACUUUUAGUGGCAAGUCUACUCGCUCCAAGAAGUUCUAUGCUAUCAGUUGCAACACUCCUCGCCACUAAAGAAAGGACUUUUGUAGCGACAAUUUUCGCCACAGAUGUGUAAUACUUUCAAUGGCAACUCAUAUCGCUACUAAAUCUUUAAGAUUUGGUGGCAACUUGACGAUCGCUACAAAUACUGAUUUUAUUUGUGACAAAUUUUGUCACCCCUAAAUCUAUGUUUUUUAUUGCAAUACCCAAUUCUAAUAGAUUUCCUCUAAAAUCAAUAUAUAUUCCUAAAUUUAUAUCAAUUAUCAAUUCAUAUAUCAAUAUUAUCCAUUGUAAUUCAAGAAACACCAAAAAUAGUUCUCAAAUUGGAUAUAAUAAGUACUUCUAUUACUAAAAAUAUCAACAAAAUAUUUCAUUGUUCGAUGUCAUUUAUGCAUACACAUACGAAAAAGAAUAUUAAGUGCCUUCAAGCUCCUCCUUCGUCGACGCCUUUUGAGAUUAUGUAAGAACCUUGCCCCUAUUAGGAAAAAAUACAAGAUUAGUUCUAUUAUUAUCACAAGGGUGACCAAAAUAAUAUUGCACUAAAAUAUUGCAAAUGAACAAGUAAAGUUGUACAAAAUAAUUUGGAGUUUUGGGUUAAGAAACAUCCUUGAACUAUGAGUCAAAUUUAGGUAACAUCAUUGUGCUAUAAUAAUAAAUAAAAAACCUUCCCUUAUCCAACUUAUUACAGAUUCCUAGAGGCAGGAGUGUUCAUGAGUACGACAAAAUUCAACACCGAGUUCACCAAAUCCAUUCUAUUUAUCAGUUAUUUUCCAAUGCCUUCAUAAAACUAAAUAGAACAAGCUAGUAACCGAACAAGAAAAGAAAUAAAAUAAUUUGUUAUUUUAGAUUUUCUAUCCGUGAGUAAUGUUUUCCAGUUUCAAGUCCCUGUGACAAAUUUCCUACGGAUAAAAGCACGACUUGAGAAACAAAACCCACACAUAGUACAAAACACCUUUGUAUUUUUAAAGUAACAACUAACAACAAUGGAUCAACUUUUAUUCUUUAAGAAUCAUAUCAGAUGAUAAUAUUGCGACAGCAAAUCUUAUACACAUACUCAUAAAAAUGGAGUGACACUUAAUAAUUGAAACUAGGUCCUUGAUUGACUUAUGUAAUAGGAGUAACUAUACAUAGACUAAAAAAGGACAAAUAAUAUUGCUUUUUUUAAGAUUUCAGUUUAAAACUGCAAGGAAUUACUCUUAUACACUCUGCUUAUUUAACAGAACUAUUCAAGCAUAUUUAUAUUCCCAACAACAACUACGCCAGACUCGGUCCCAAACAAGUUAGGGUCGGCUAAAUACUCAAUCUACACUUUGCUAAGAAAAGAGAACUAAUGCAAUUUAUCUCUAUUUCCACUUAAUCUUGGGAGUCAUCUCAAUAUGACAAACAUAUCUAUCCAGGUUCUAUAAAAGCACAAUGAUCGCUAUGAUCUCUAAACUAGCAAGCUAAGCUCUACCGAGCCUUUUGUUUCAGAAAGGGUAAUAAUGUUGCUUACAAUGUGAUUAUAGAAAAUAAUAUAUACAGUAAACAUCAGUAGGAUAUAGGCAAUUCUUAGGUUCAUAACAAAUAGAUAUAAAGGAAGUAUUUACCUCUUUAAACCUGACAAUGUUCGGAUGUCUCGUCGAUCUAUGAUUUAUAAUUUCUCUCUGUACAUUCUCAUCAAUCUGAGACCAUAAUAAAGAAACUGUUACAUCAGGCUAACAGAAUUAAAGGAGAAAACACUACCAUACUAUAACGAUAACUAUUACAUCAGGCUUGAAAGAAUUUGAUACAACUUAGUAAUUGAGGAGAAAAAUAUUGUACUUAAAAGAGCUUUUGCAAUGGGCCAAAAUUGCUCCUUCUUACUUUGGCUUAUAGUUGAAUCAACAACAACAUAAUGUCAAUUGCAUUUCAAUCCUAAAUCAGUUUUUUAAAAUCUUUCUUCCUUCAAGAUUUCAACUCAAGCAAACACUUCUUGCAAAAAACCUCAAAAUCUGACUUUGCAAAUUCAAAGUUCCAAAACCUCAAACAAAUACAAAUUUCAAUGAAGAACCAGUAAAGGAGUUCAGCAGAAAAUCAACCAAAUAUGCAAAUCCAACACAAUCCUUAACCUAACAAAGUGAAAUAUCAUGAAACUAAUAAAAGCACAGGAAAAAGAAACAAACCACGAAGGAGGUUCAGUAUAAGUGGAAUGAUCCGAAUACACAUCAGCUAUCAUUUCGCCACCACCUGUAAUUCAAGGGACAAGAACACAAGUUAAGAAAUUGUUUGUCAAGAUUUUCGACUACUUUAAAUUCUUAUAUGAAUCAGUGACUUCCUCCUAAGUGUUCAAUUUCAUUUUAAAAAUCUCAUACAGAUUUCAAAAACAAGAAUGAAGUAAGCACAUCCUAGUGAUUCAAACACAUAAACUAGACGAGCAACAAUGUCAAUCACAUAUUCACUAAAUUAACCGAUCAGUAAUUUAAUUUUUCUUACGGUUUUCAAUACAUAUUAGCCAUUUCACAUGCUGAUUUUAUCAAAUAAAAAUGAAUAUAUUAUAAGCGUAAAACAGAAAAUUAGUUGAGCGGCAAGAAUAUAUAUUCAUUCACACAUUCAUUUACAGACCUAGAAUGGAAAAUAAGUAAAAGAGAGGUUAGUGGCCUUCUUCGGGACAGCAAAUCAGUGGAUCCUCGUCGAGUCUUUACCAUUGAAAAGGUUGUUCAACAGAGCCAAUUUAGGCUCUAUUUACAGCCGAAAAUCCAAACCUUACAUCCUCAAUGAAGCUAAAGAGUUUCAAAUUCUGAAAACCAAAAGAGGUGGGCAAUCUUCCGAGUGAUUUUGAGAGGAGAUAAUGAAAAAACAAGGGCAAAAACUCACUUUUCCAGAGCUCUUUGGAGCCAUUGGGAGGCUGUUGAGGGUGGAAUUCAUCCAUGGACCUUGGGGACAAAUCUUUUAUACGUCGAGAAAUCCAAGGAAUCCUAUCUUUCUAGCCCUAAGUGAGCCAUAGAUUGUGAGUGAGCUUUCGAGGAGUAGAGAUCGAGCGUCGAAUUGUAAAUGUCGAAUAGACAUCUGCAAGAGGGACGUAUUUUUCAGAGCUCAUGCCUAUUCAACAUUUGUAAAUGUUAGAAGCUUCCAAGUGGCAUGAGAGGGUGGAGGAGACAACUAGGGUGAUGAGAAAGGUCUCGCCGGUCUUUUCCCGAUGUUCUGGAGGCGGCGAUUUGUGGUUGUGAACUGAUCGAAUGAAAAUGGGAAAGGGAUAGGGGUCUUAAGUUUGGGUUAUUUGGGCCGGGUCAGGGUUUUUUAGGUGAAGAACUGAAGCUGAAUUUUUUUGAAUUUAUAACUGCAAAUAGAUUAGUAAAAGGUUUAAUUAUUUAUAUAUAUAUUGAUAAAUAAAAUUUAAAGUAUGCCGAUGCUCGAAAAACAAAUUAGGUGCGUUUAAAUAUGCAAGUUUUUUUUGCAUUUUGAUUAAUUAUAAUAUUUUAUUAUAUAGAAAUUUCUCAUUUUUAAUUAGUUUUCUUAUUUAAUCGUCCAUUUCAACAUUUAUAUUUAAAUUACAUAAAUAAAAUAUUUAUUGACAAUUCAAAUUAUCUUUUUAAUAAUUUAUUUCUUUUUUUUUUAAACAAAAAAUUGAAUCAUUUCUCAAUUUGUGUGUGUCAUCCUUGAUAAUUUUAUUACAAUAUACUUAUCCCGAUACAUCUUAUAGGAGGUGUAAGUGUAGAAUUUUCAUAUUAUAUAAAGUGUAAGUAUUUGAUUUUAAAUACAUAAAAAGUAUCUCAAACUGAAUCAUAUAACAAGAAUAUUUAUAAUAAUUAUUUGGUUCUUCUAAAUAAAAACGAAAAUAGUAAACAAGAAUUACUCACUACUUAUUUAAUAUCUUUAUUAUCAUAAAUUAGUUUAUUUACAUUUCAAUAAAAGUAAUACUAAUACAUAUGUCCUGCACUAGUUAUUUUUAUAAUGGGCAAAUUUUUUAUUACCGAGUACUUACUUAAAAUAAAUUUAUUAGAAAUAUGAAAUUACUCAUAUUACUUUUUUUAACAAUAUUAUUUAAUACCUAAAUGUUAUAUAUAAAAUAAAUGAUAAAAUGUAUGAAAUUAGUCUAAAUACUUAUUAAGCAAAGAGAAAUGAGUAAAACAUACAUUACUAUCUUUAUAACUAUUAAUUAAAAUUAAAUUGACAUACAAAGUCUUAUUAUAUAACCAUAAAAUAAAAGGAACGAUAAAAGGUUACUACAAAAAAUCCACUUUUAGUGACGACAUAAAAUGUUGCUACAAAAACUCCAAAUUUAGUAGCGACAUAAAAAGUUGCUACAUAAGCUCCAUAUUUAGCGGCGAGGAGGUCGCGGCAAUAACCCUUUUUGCAACGACUAUCUAUAUGUCGCCACAAAUACUCUUACAACUAUAUUUUCUUGAAAAAAAUCAUAAUUAUUUGUGACAACAUGAGUUAAGUCGCCCCUAAAUAUAAUACAUUUUGUGGCGACAUUUGAUGUCGCAUCUAAAACUUCCAGUUUUUGCGGCAACUUAUUAUAUCGCCACAAAAGGCCUCACAUUUGUGACAAUUAUAUGUGUCGCCACAGAAUGUUGUCACAAAAAGUCCUGUUUCUUGUAGUGUGUCUCUCAUUUUUAUUUUAUUUUUAACUUCAUUCACUUCUUUCAAAUUUAACUUCUGUAGAAAUAAUACAUUAUAUGAUUAUUUAUACACAUACACAAAUGCAUGGAAUUUACCAUUCACAAUUUAUUCAAAUGUUGAUUAUAUUUUAAUUAAACUGUAUAUUUUUAAAAAUAAUUCAGUACGAUUCUGUCAUUUUAUUAAUUUAUUUUUAAAAAUUAUGUAAUGACCAGGAAAGUCAUUUUUAGAAAUUUUUACAAAAUUACCGUUUUACGCAUCCCGAUAGUUGCCCCGAGUCUUUUUUUUAAUUUAAUUUUAUUAGUCAGUGAAGUUGAUUUGAAAAUCUUGAACUAUUGGUGUAACUACAGUUAUUUAGUUGGAGGGUAUUUAUUAAAUAAAUAAUUUAUUUAGUUGGUGGUUAAUGGGCCAAGUUCAUAUAUAUAUUAAUAUAAGCUAGUGAGAUUUAAUAUUUAUUUAAUUAUUCAGUGGGUCAUAAUUAUUUGCCCUACUCAAUUAAAAGAAAAACAGUUAGCCUCUCGAAGAGGACUUCAUCGGCGACCGAUCAAAGUGCAGCAGGGGAGAAACCGUUGUCGAACAAAACUAUUGUUGCGGUACCGGAAAAGGGCGACGAAACUGUAGGUAAUAUUCAAGUGAGUUUCAAAUGGUGUCUACUUAUAUUAUUGUUGCAUAUUGGAUAUAAUAUUAUUAGAUUGAAGAAUUAACAGGUGAAUUGUUGCAAAUUGAGUGAAUUGUCCGUGCUUUAGUGAACCGAAUAAUAAAAAAAUAAUAAUUGAGGGACAUAAUCAUUGCCAAUGAUAAGGCAAUGAUUGGCAAUGAGAGUAGAAUAUGCUUGAUUAGCAUUGGCAGUGAUAGUUGAAUGGAAGUAAUAUGGAUUAAAAUAUUAAUUUGAUAUUAGAGGUUACUGAUUUCUAUGGAUUUUGGAGUUGCAAAGUUCUUCAUGGUGAUCACAUUAUGAUCCAUGUUCCAGCGUAUUGGUGUGAUGUACUUAAAUUUUAGGGAUACUAUAUUAUAUGAAUAUCAUUAGAUUUAUGUUAUUUAACGAAAUUGAGGCAUAAUCUUAGACUUGAAAUUUGAAAAUAUGAGUUCUUGGGUCUAGUUGGACAUAGAGUAAUAUGAAUGUUGUUAGUUUCAAAAUCUUAUUGUGGUCAUUUAUUUGAAUAGAUUGUAUUGAUUUGGAAGUCCAAUGAAAGGGAAAGACUGAAGUCCCGGAGUGAUUGUUCGACUAUUUGAGGCAAGUGAAUUUCUAAACUCUUGUUAAGUGUAUGAAAUUCAUGUAUUUUCUUGUAAUAUGUGUUUAGGGUAAUGAGGCUUGGUGAUGGGUUGACUUGUCCACAUUGAUUAAUUCUAAUGAUGAAAAAGGGAUAAUAAAAGGCAAUGUGAUCAAUUGUUUGUGUGAUGUGUUGAGAAUUGUUUGAAAGGCUUGUUGAAUCAUUGUUGAUGUUGUAUCNNNNNNNNNNNNNNNNNNNNNNNNNNNNNNNNNGGACAGAUAUGUCCCCCAUGGGUCCCGGACUGAGAGACAGCGGGUGUGUAUCAUUAGGUCAGACAUGCAUCACUAUACUUGACAUUGCAUUUCAUUGCAUUGCACUUCUUUAUUAUUGGUGAACUUGAUCUUGUGUGUUGCUGAUCUUGUGAGUGCCUUUCUAUGGAACUUGUGACUGAUGUAUAUUGAGCUUGUUGUUGAAGAUAUGCAAUUGUUAGAGUGUUGUUGUUGAGGAUAUGAAACUAUUGUUGUUGUUGAGGAUAUGAAAUUGUUAGAGUGUUGUGUUGAGAUAUGUGCUUGUAAAUUGUGAACUGUUAGGUUGGGCUGGUUUUAUACAGAUUGUAGUUGUGAAGGUUCGGUUGGGGGGUAGGGAGUACUUGUAUUCUAUCUCCUUAGCUCGUGUUUAGAGGUUUACUUGCUGAGUACCGUGUGGUUUGGUACUCACCCCUUGCUUCUACAAAUUUUUGUAGGUUACGAGCCUGGAUUUUUGUGGUACUUGUUAUUCUCUUCUUUUCCGAGGCUUCUGGGAGAUUUGUGAGGUAGUUGUUUGUCUUCUCAGCGAUCAUUCUUACUCCUGUUUAUGAUCUUGUUCUACUCUAGAAACAAUGUCAUAUGAGACUUGUAUUUUUCUUUUGAUUCAAUUGUAAUACUUUAGAGGCUUUGUACAUGUGACAACUAGAUUUUGGGGGUAUAUUUGAGUUUAUUAUAAAAAUUUCCGCAUUAUAUUGUAAUGGUUGAAUUUUAGGCUGACUUGUCUUGGUGGGAUAAGACGAGUGCCAUCACGUCCAUUUUUGGGUCGUGACAAAUUAUUCCGUACAAUUAUAAAUUUAUAUAAAAUUAAACUUUCGAUUUUAAUAAAUAAAAUUGAAUAAUCGGUUCAAUUCGAUCAAUAAAUCAAUUGUUUUGGAAAAAAACAUUGAUACCCAUAACUAUAGUACUUCAUCAUAAUAUAUUUGAAAUCCUAGUUGGUUCAUUUCUUUUAUUUGUGCUUUCAUUUUUUAGUUUAUUUCAAUUUUUCUACACUGAAGGAAAAAGUUAAUAGAAAUUCAUGAAAUAUUUCGCACCUUUGCAAAGUUUGAGUUUGUAAGUCGAUGUUAUCUCUGUAUAGUUGCUCUACGUACGGAUGUGGAAUUACUAUUAAAUAUGUACAUAGACAGAAGCAAAUAGAUCGGCUUAGUCUAUGCAGUUUACCAAUCACAAAUCAAUAGACACAUACAAAAAUUAGAACCUUGCCCGAUUGCUUUAACAGACGCGUUACCUCCUGGUUCCCACCUGUCCUGUCCAAAAACUAAGGAACUCAUCUGAAAAGUAAAUUUGCUAGAUCAAAACGUGAACUCAGAGAAUAGGGGUAUACAAGUGAACCACCUAGAAUCGAUCCAUGGCCGCUAAACUAAAGAAAGGGGUCCUUUACCAAGUAAGCUAGGCAACCUUACCCGUCUCAACCGAUCUUAGCUCGGACAUGCCAACAGUCAAUACUUACUCUUUUCCCUGGGACAGCUAAUAAAAACAAAUACGGCCCCUUCUCAAAGAGACUGCCCUUAGGACUCUAUUAAGCUCUUUUCCCUGGGACAGCUAAUAAAAACUAAUACGGCCUCUUCUGAAGGAGACUGCCCAAGACUUGAGAAAUUAUUUUGUUUAUCGUCCUUAUCGAUGAAAGCGUAGCAAAUAAAAAAUAAAAAGUGUUAAACCAACAAAUAUUAGCGAUCUAGUGGUAGAACCGUACCCCACUCACGGUACUUAUAACAUGGAUUGUAUUUUUCAAAUGAUGCAUUUUAUAAUUGCGUAAUUUAAGAAAAUUGAUGAAUUGAACUUUUUCAUUUUUACAAAAUCGACCGAAUUCGUUGGUUUUAAUUUUUCCUCGCCAAUUAACGAAUGAACUCUAUGUAUUUCUUAUGAAGCACUUGCAGUAUUCUUUUUUUAAGUUGUCACUUGUAAUUAUGAACAAUUAUAGCAAAAAAAAAUUGUAUUAAGCUAUAAAUUGUUUUUCGUAGCAAAUAGUAGAAUUAUUCACUACAAAUUUUAAGUUGUCACUAUUUAACACCUUACAUAUUUUGUGACAAUUUUUUUGUUGUCACUAAAUCACAUAUUGAUUAGAGACAAUAAAAUUUUUCUCACCAAUUAUUUAUAUUAUUAAUGACGAAAAUAAAUGUCAUAAUUAAAUCUAAAUUUUUAUAGCUAAAACUUAUAAUAGUUAUCUACAAACUCUAAUUUGUCGAUAUUGUAACAACAUAUUUUUUUAGAUGAAAUUUUUUUGUGUCCAAAAAUUAAUAAAUUUUAAGACAAAAUAUAAUUUUUCAUGAAUUAGAUACAUUAUUGGUGACGAAAUAAUGUGUCACCGAUAAAUUAAAAUUUGUGACUAACACUACUUAACAAAUGACACCAAUUAAUUUUUUGGUGGAAAACUUUAGUGGACAAAACAUUGCUACAGAUUUUUAUGUUUCGUCACUAAAAAUAUGUGUUUCAUAUAUUUUAGCACGAAAAGAAAAUUUUAUCUCUAAAAGCAAACAAUUAGUGACGAAUUUAAUGUCGUAGCUAAUAAUUUCAUAGCUAUAUAUCAUAUUUGUUGUAGUGAUUAUUGUACAAAAAUAAAUUAUAAUGAUCUUACAAAGAACACCUUUAAACCUAAGGGAAGUGAACUAAAAUUCACAUUAGAUUUCAAUCAAUGUAAAAAUAUAUGAUAUCAUUUUACUUUUAAAAAUUAUGUACUUUUUGCAUUGAUUGAGAUUUUUACUACACACUUCAACAAUCAACUACUCGAUAUGAAAAAAGAAAGAAGAAGAGUUUAACCCCCUCAACCCCACCCCACACACACUCUUUUAUUUCUAUAUAAAAUUUGCCAAAUAUGUUAUAAGUAAUAUUUUAAUUUAAAAUUCAAUUUGAGAUGAUUUUUCACCAAAAUAUUUGAGGUUGUUCGCAUGAGAUGGAAAUAAAAAUAAAGUAUUUACUUUGAUGUAUGUUUAAUUUUUUAAGAUUUGUCUAAGAUUUUAUUUUAUCUAGAGUUUCUUUAUCUUAUUUUAUGUUCAUAUUUAUUUUACUUACAUCCUUAUUAUAUCCUUGAAUAAAUUUGAUACAUAUACCCUUAUUUAAUUUAAAAUUAUUAGGUAUUGAAUUAUUUACACGAUUGAUCAAAUGAAUCUUUUACACUAAAUCUUGAACUAAAGAGUUUAACUAAUGUAUACUACGAUAAAUUUAUUUUAUAAUUUAUGAACAAAAUUGUUGUAGACAAAAAGGCAAUUACUUUACACCUUGUUUUGAUAAUUAUUACAUAGUGUUUUAUAAUAUAUUGUCUUAUAUUAUGUUAUAUUGUAUUAUAAUAUGCUAAGCCAUAUAUGAAUAUAUGAGAGAGAGUAGUGGAGAUGAAGCGAGAAUAUAGGUGUCCUUUUCAGAGAAUCAAUUUGGAUUUAUAUCGAGCGAUCAACUACUAAAGCAAUCCAUCUUGAGAGGAGACCGCUGGAGAAAUAUAGGGAAAGAAAAAGAGAAAUAUAGGAAAAGAAAAAAAAAACCUACAUAUGGUGUUGAGAAGACAUGUGACAAAGUUUCUAGGGAUGUCCUCUGAAAUUGUUAGGAGGCUAAAAGUGUCAUGUUGAUUUAUAUUAGGACAAUAAGGGACAUGUAUGAUGAAUCCAAAAUUCAGAUUAAUGUUGAGCCUUUUUUUAUUUGCCUUAGUGAUGAUUGAGUAGACGCAGUCUACUCAGGAAGAGGCUUCAUGGUGUCUGUUGUUUACAGAUGACAAACUCUGGAGUGCAAGGGUUCAAAUUGAGUAGGACUAAAAUGGAAUAUUUGGAGUCCAAAUUCAGCAUUGCAUUGGAUGAAGCAGACACAGAAGUGAGACUUGUCACACAAACUAUCCCAAAAGAGAAAGUUUUGGGGGAUCCAGAGCACUUCCCUGUUGAGAUAGGGGCUAUAUCAGGGACCAAUGUUGAGCCUUUUUUUAUUUGCCUUGGUGAUGAUUGAGUAUACACAAUCUACUCAAGAAGAGGUUUCAUGGUGUAUGUUGUUUGCACAUGACAUAAUACUAAUUGGUGAGAUGCGGGACAUAAUUAAUAAUAGAUUGGAGGUUUGGAGAAAAAAUCUGGAGUGCAAGGGUUCAAACUGAGUGGGACCAAAAUGGAAUAUUUGGAGUGCAAAUUCAAUAUUGCAUCGGAUGAAGCAGACACGGAAGUGAGACUUAUCACACAAACUAUCCCAAAAGAGAAAGUUUUAAAUAUCUUGAAUUUGUCAUCAAGGAUAGUGGGGACAUUGACGAUGAUGUCACACAUCACAUUGGAGCAACAUAGAUGAAAUGAAGACUUGCUUUUAGAGUAUUUGUUAUAAAAAGUUAUCACAUAAACUCAAAGGUAAGUUCUACAACGUGGUGAUUAGACCCUCCUUGUUGUAUGAGGUAAGUGUUGGCUAGUCAAGAACUCACAUGUUUAGAAGAAGCAUAUUAUGGAGUUAAUUAAGGAUCUUGAGAUGGAUGUGUGGGUAUACUAGGAGUGACAAAAUUAGGAGUGAGGUUAUAAUUUGGGAGAAGGUGAUAGUGGUCGACAAAGUCAGUUUUUUCGGUUUCGGUUUUAGUCGGUUCUUUCGGUUUUUUUCAGUUUUUCGUUUUUUUUUCCUGGUUUUUUACAACUUAACGGUGUUUGAAAAAGAGAUCAAAUAUAUUUUCACCUACCUGUGUUAUAAGCUAAACUUAAGAAAUGUUAAAUGAAUAGAAAUUUUCGUAAAGACGGUAAAAUUCACAUGAGUACAAAAUAUAUAUUUUUGAAAUAUCAACGUUCAUAUGUUAGAUUAAUAAGAUUAAAGGAUACAGUCAAACUAAAUACAAAACGAAAUAUUUACAAAACAAAUUGUUAACUUCGAAUUUGAAAACUAUAACAAUAUAAUUGUAACUUCGGAUCUUAAUACAAAAUAAAUAUUUACAAAUUUUGCAAGCCCAAAUUUGAAAUAAAAUAUAUAAGCAUUAAAAACUAUAAACUAACUUAAAAAUAUAUUAACAAAGUAGAUUAUAAAUAAUAUUUUUUAUAUAUAAAUAAAAUAAAAUUAUAUAUAUAAUAUUUACAAAAUUUUACAAGCCCAAAUUUGAAAUAAAAUAUAUAAGCAUUAAAAACUAUAAACUAACUAAAAAUAUAUUAACAAAGUAGAUUAUAAGUAAUAUUUUUUUUAUCUAUAAAUAAAAUAAAAUUAUAUAUAUAAUAUUUACAAAAUUUUACAAACCCAAAUUUGAAAUAAAAUAUAUAAACAUUAAAAUCUAUAAACUAACUAAAAAUAUAUUAACAAAGUUAUAAUAUUUUUUAUCUAUAAAUAAAAUAAAAUUAUAUAUAUAAUAUUUACAAAAUUUUACAAACCCAAAUUUGAAAUAAAAUAUAUAAACAUUAAAAUCUAUAAACUAACUAAAAAUAUAUUAACAAAGUUAUAAUAUUUUUUAUCUAUAAAUAAAAUAAAAUUAUAUAUAUAAUAUUUACAAAAUUUUACAAGCCCAAAUUUGAAAUAAAAUAUAUAAACAUUAAAAUNNNNNNNNNNNNNNNNNNNNNNNNNNNNNNNNNNNNNNNNNNNNNNNNNNNNNNNNNNNNNNNNNNNNNNNNNNNNNNNNNNNNNNNNNNNNNNNNNNNNNNNNNNNNNNNNNNNNNNNNNNNNNNNNNNNNNNNNNNNNNNNNNNNNNNNNNNNUAUAAAUAAUAUUUUUAUCUAUAAAUAAAAUAAAAUUAUAUAUAUUAUGUCGAUUUGGUUUGGGUUCGGUUUGACUUUUUUUCAUUUAAUACCAAACCAAGCCAAGAGUGGUUGGUUUUUUUUUUCAACCGCCAAACCAAACCACAAGUCGUUUUUUUUUCGGUUUGAUUUGGUUCGUCGGUUCGGUUUGACUUUACGGUUUGAUUUGUACACCCCUACUUACAACCUACCUUUCUUAGACUCCACUUUGUAAGAUUUCACUAGAUAUGUGUUGUAUUGUAUUGUACUAUAUUAUUUUGAUGAGUGAAAUGCUUGGUUAGAUUAUAUCAUUAAUUUUACGUCGUUACAUAAUAUCAAAUAUAAUCAAUUUGAAGCAUAAAUCAACAAGAAAAGUAAGGUACGUAGUAGAGCUAACAUAAAAGGUGUGAUUAAUAAUAAGAUAUAUUUAUCAUUUAAUAAAGAAAAUAAGAAAAAAAUAACAACAUAACUACGUUAUCACAUCAAAUUAGUUGUUACAUAAAAUGAAACUUUUCUUCAUUACAUUAAAAUGGACUAGGGUGAAGCUAAAGUGCCAUAAUAUGAACUCCAUUCGUCUAAAAAUUACGCUAUGUAUAUAAGGCCAAUUUAUUUUGUUAUACAUUUAUAGUAGAUUUUGAAUCCUAUUGAUAUCUUUGUGUGUUUACUUCUUUAUAUUCAAAAUCACUUAGUAAAAGUUCAGACUUCACUGAUAAUGCUAAAUUUGAUAACACCGUAUAAUAAAAAUUAAAUAGCAAUCAAAAUAAAUAUUAUAUUUAAACUAAUAAUAACAAGUAACAACCAUCCAAACUAGGUGUUAGGAUGUUAAAAUUCAAAUACUAGUAUGAUAAAUCACAAGAGAGUUAAUUAUGGAAAUAAGAUCAAAUUCUUGGCUAUCAGGAUAGAAUCCCAUGCAGAUUGUAUCUCAGAUUUCAUAAUGACAAACUGACAUGAUCUUUUUUCUUAUAUUUUGUGUCUUGUAUGACACAUCUUGAUGAACAAGAACAAUAACGAUAAACGGUGGAGUCAAGAUUUUCGCUAGGAGUUCGAACUUCAAAUAUGAAGAAGUAAACACAAGAAAAAAUCGAUAUAUAUAUAUAUAUAUAUAUAUAUAUAUAUUCUAUCAAAAAAAAUUGAAUAACCUUCCUCAACCCUACCUAAUUCCUCCCCAGUAACAACUACACAACAAUACUACUAAUUAAGCAACUAUAAAGACUAUCACCAAUUGUGUUAUAGAAUAUAACUUUUUGACCUAGAAGAAAAAAUAUUAUAAUUUCAAGAAGUAUGUAUAUUAAGACCCCACCCCNGACCCCACCCCCCUCCCUCCCCUCUUGUAAUUUCAUAAGAAUUUGACCAAACAUGCUAAGUAAUUAUUUUUCAUUCAAAUAGAAAUGAAUCCUGGCUGAAAUAUCUGAGGCUGUUCAUAUCAAAUGAAAAUAUGUGUAGUAUUUCAAUUUUUGAGAGCUUGUUCUGGAUUGUGAUUUUGUCUAGAAUUUCUUUACUUAAAUUUAUGUUUGUAUUUAUAUAUUUUAUACUUGCAUUCUUGUUAUAUAUUGGAAUAAAAUUGAUACAUAUACCUUUAUUUUAUUUAAAAUUAUUUGGUACACUAAACCUUGAAUUAAAGAGUUUAACUAAUGAUAUACUAUUUUAUUUUUUUGUAAUUUAUGAAAGAAAUUAUCGUGGACAAAAAGAAAGCUAGUCAACUCUUUAUUUUGAUGGUUGUUAUGUAUUGUUUCAUAAUAUAUUGAAUUAUAUUAUAUUAUUCUGAUGAAUACAAUAUUUUGAUAGAUUGUAUCAUUUUUGUCGUUAUAUAAUUCAAAUAUAACCAAUUUAAAGGAUCAAUCAACAAGAAAAAUAGAGUAUGAAAUAAAACUAUCAUAAAGGGUACGGUAAAUGAUAAAAAAUAUUUAUUAGAUAAUAAAUAAAGUAAAAAUAAAAAUUUAAUAAUAACAACGUAACGAUAUGACCACACCAAAUCAUCUAUUGUUACAUAAAAUGAUACUUUUUGUCAUUACGUAACAUGGGAUAGAGGUGGAUUCAUCUCAACCCCUUUCAUACCGUAACAUGAUUCGCCCAUCCACCAAUUAAUGAUGAUGAUUUUUGACAAUACAAUAUAAAUUUAAAUAACAAUUACAAUAAAGAAUAAGUUGCUUGGUCUGUCAAGUAUGUAUGACAUAAUUAUGUUGAGAUUUUUUUAAUUACAAUAACUUGUUUGGUCUGUCAAGUAUGUAUGACAUAAUUUCUAAGAAUAAGUUAUUUGUUUAUAAAAAUACCUCUAAGAAUAAGUUGUUUGUUUAUAAAAAGGGUUUAAGGGAUACUUUUGUUAUUUUGCAUUUUUAUUUUGAGAUAAGUAUUCCAUCCACAAGUAGGAAUAACUUAUUCCAAUCAUAAUUAUUAAUUUCGGAAUAAGUUAUUUCACAAAGGACUCAACUAAAAACUUCUCUCGGAGUUAUUUUUCUUUAUCGGCCAUUUAAGGUAUUCUUUUGACCUACCUCAGAUUAUAAGGAAUCAUAUUAACUCUAUCACCCUAUCCAUUUAGAUGAAUUAAUUAUGAUUCUUCCUGGUGGACUCCCAAAUACUCAACUAUUGAAAGCUCAAUUGUCUAUGGCUAGCUAUUUAAUAUAACUAAGGAUUGUGCUGCCUCACCAUCUUUUGUUAUGCAACAACUAGUCUAUGAUACUAUAACAAGUAGUUUCUUUAUUAAAUAUCAUGAGAAAUCAAAUUGUUCGGUAGGACACAAUAGAAAAAUAAUGCAGGAAUAUAAUUUGUUGGAUAUAUACACCAUUUCAAUUUGUGUACGUAUAACUAAUACAAAUAUUAAUUAUGCACUCUAUUUGAUAAUAUGCUAUGUAUAAUUAAUAUAUGAAAAAUUAUGACAUAUUAGCAAUGCAAAGAGUUUUAGUACUUGCAUUAUCAUUGUUAAAGACAAUCUAUCAAGAUUUUUUUCAUAUCCUUUCCAUUGUAUUUGUAAAGGAUAUAUUUGUAAACAAAUGUCUUUUUUUAAAAAAAAAUUAAGUAAUUCACAUGCUAUUUUUGAUACACAAAAUCUAACACUUUAAAAUAAAUAAUCUCAGCAUAACUAAUGCAAACAUUUAUCAGUAUUACUAAUACAUCAUAUUUAACAGUACUAUUCUUUUACAUCUUAUCAGACGAUCCUAAUGAAUAUCGUUUUUCUUUUAUUGUAUGGUACAUCUUGAUCAUUAGGAACAAAACUGCCUAAACACCAAUGGUGUUGUAUAAUUUAACCUCGUGACCUAAAAAAAAAUCAUAGCUUGAACAAAAAAAUUCUUUAAUUGAAAUUUCCAUCUUAAGCUUUCUCGAACGAGUGAGGAAUGAGUGAUCAUAAGCUCUGCUUAAGUACUCGACAUGCAGUUAGCUUAAAAUAUGUGCCUCAAAAUAUAAAUUCGAGACUUAAUUACUGGAAAAUCAUGAUAAUUUAAUUGAUUGAUUAAACUUUAGUUUUUAUUCUCCAAGUGUCAGAUUGAUUUCUUAUCUUGUGAUUUUCUAUUCCAUUUCUUCUCUCUCCGCUAUAUAAUAUUUAUGUAUAAUAUAUAGUUUGUUUUAAGAAAAAAUCGUUAGUUUUUUAAAAAUAUGGUAAGAAAAUACGAAAAGUGAAAAAGUAUCCCAAGAAUCUAACGUGGCCAUGCAAACAAUAUUUCCCGCGUUAUUUUUUUGACCACGUCACCUUCUAAGGUUAAUAUGACCUUCAUCUAUCGACACGAAGAAUGAAUUAAUAAACUUGUUAAAGAUAAUAUUUUUCUCUGAUCUCGAUUUGGGUCCGUAAAAAUAUCAUAGAUUUUGAUAAAAUAAUAAGAUAAUAUAUUUUCGUAAGAUACUUAUGUAAUUAUAUAUGUAGGUUCUAUUAAUAUUAUAAAUUAAUAAUUCUUUAAAAUUAUAAAAAUAUAUCCAAGAUAAUUUGGUGAAAUAUGAUUGUAUUGUUUUAAGUUUUUUGUUAAAAUUUAAAUCUAGUUAAAGUUUAUCUCUAGCUUUUCUUAUUGCAUCUGAAAGUUCUAGUGUUGUCUUCUUCAAUUUCACCAAAAAAAAAACAUGAAGAGUUCUAGACGCGAUAAGUGUUUGUUUACGUGUAACUGGUUCUAAAGGUAUUGUAUUGUCUUCUACUUCAUCUUCAACAUUGUUUUCUCUGAUGGUAUCCAUGAUUUCUUCUAAGUUCUUGACGUCUGAAUAUGUAUCAUUUUCAGUCAGGUAAUCGAAAAGGCUAUUGACAUCCAUUUUAUUGCGGUAACCAAGAUCAUUAAGCAUGACCUCGAGUUCAUAUAUGUCAUUUUCAGAAUAGGGUUCAUUUUAAUUCUCUGAGGCUUCAUUCCCCGAACGAAAACACUCUAUAAAUUAAUAAGUAUUAAUUUAUCAAUUAAAUAAUAUAUCUACAAAAUAAUAAUAUUUUAUGAUCCCGACAAUAUUUAUUUAGAGAGGUUUUACCAAACUAAUCAAACAUUAGCUAUACAUAAGUUGAAAAAUAAUUAUAUGUUACGAAGCUAUGUAUUUUUUUUAAAAUGCUUUUUAUUUUUUUAAAAUAGUUUUUUUUUUUAACAUAAAGAAAAUAACAUUUUAGUGAGAUUAGAGAAAAUAAAGUUUCACAUGUAACAAUUUAAAAUGAUAGUGUUCUUACAUUUUUUGGGAGACACAAAUUUUCUACUAAGGUAUCAUAAUAUAUAUAGAGAGAUUAGAUAAUAACAUAUUUAUUGUAGCUUCAUAAAUGAGUUCGAGGAGGAUAUAAUGUAUGCAGAUCUUGCCCUCUACGUUUAGAGAUAGAGAGAUCAUUUUUGAUAAUUCGCAAUUUAAGAAAAAAUAUUUCAAAGUAGACAUAAAAAAAUAUAUUUUUAAAAAAGUAUUACAAAGUAUGUUAAAAGAAAUAAGCAAUAACUAUAAUAACGUACAAAAACAGAAAGAAAAAGAUACUAUUAUUACUGAUAAUACUUAUUUUCUAACCUUCUAUCCUUCUUUGUACCAUCCAUAAUUUUUUAACAAAUGUUAUAUUUUUGAUAAGCUAAAGUUGCGUUAUGUCUGCCUUUUCAGCUCUCUUUUACAUUAAUCUUUAGAGCCGUCAAAAUGGGCUUAGCCCAUGGGGCCAGCCCAACCCAACUCGUUAUUGAGGUAGGGUUGGGAUAAGAUUUUUCAAGCCCAUUUAAAAUUAGGGCUUAUAAGCCCGGCCUAUAUAAGCCCUUGGCCCUUGAGGCUUGAUUGGGGCCGGGCCGAGGUCGGUCCAUGGGCCAAAACUUUUUAUUCAAGGGUAACUUACCAUAAUCUCACUAGUAUAUAAUCUAAUUACUUAAAUACACGUUAUGUUAUAAUAUUAUGAAUCUUACCACAUUUUGGUAUGUCAGAUACAUGUAUUUCGAAAUAUAUGGACUCAAAAUUAGGUUAAUCUGUUCCAGAUACACUCUAUCCAAGUAGUUUCGCAUGUGUCUAGGAUGCAUACACAAAUCUUGUGCCCUCUCCUCCCUCCAAUCUUACUUGUCACUCUCGUAUCUCGCUCGCGUAUCUGGUAUACGAGAUACAUGCUAAUUACACUAGACUUUUUGCUGGUGUUAUUUAAACAACACUAUUGUUUGCCAUAUUUGAUUUGAAAAUCUUCUCAUUUUCUUGAUGUUAUAGAAUUAUAAGUUUGAAAAAAAAAAGAAGGUCUAGCCCGCCCUAGUCCUCGGCCCUUCUAGGGUUGGGUUGGGUUAAGCAUUUUCAGGCCCUUCCGAAUGAAGGGCCAGCCCGCCCAAGCCCUUCAAAUUCCUUGGCCCGCGAGGCUUGAGCCAGGCGGGGCUGGGCCGACCCUUUUUGACAGCUCUAUUUAUCUUAUUAAAGUUAACCUCUCAUAUGUCGUACAUAAAAUUAAAAUUCAGACACCUAGCUAAAUAAUGUAAUAUUUUGGAAAUGAAUGACAUUUAACAUGUCUUAGCAUAAGUGGUGGAGCAUAAAGUGGCUCCACCACUAUCCACCGUAUAACACAUUUCAUUUUCACCAUCAUCCCAAUAGCUUUUCCACCAUUCCUCCUUUCAUCUCCAUUUUCAUACUAUUUGUUUAUAUUACAUAAUAUAUAAAUACGUUUAAGAUAAUGUUUUUUACUUGUGUAUCAAAUACAAAAAAAAUAAAAAAUAAUUCACUUAUCUACUUAAUUUUUUUUUUUUAUAAAUAUUUUCUUCGUAUUGAACACAUCUUUAGAGGAUUGAAAUUAAAAAUAAAUAUCGUAACAAAAUUAAGGAAAUUAAUUAAAUAAUAUAUGCUAUAUAUAGAGAGAGAGAAAAUUGAUUUAUAUAUGUGUACCGUAAUUAUUUAACAGAUGAUGCUCCAUCUUUGCAGCUAGAUCAAGAAAUAACUUCUGGAUCAAAAUAUAUAAUCUACUAUUAUUAUUUGUUACUCGAUUAUUAAUUUCUUCUUUUCAAAAAAACUUGUUAAUUAAUUCUCCUUAAAUAAAAANNNNNNNNNNNNNNNNNNNNNNNNNNNNNNNNNNNNNNNNNNNNNNNNNNNNNNNNNNNNNNNNNNNNNNNNNNNNNNNNNNNNNNNNNNNNNNNNNNNNCAAAAAAACUUGUUAAUUAAUUCUCCUUAAAUAAAAACCACCCUGACACUACCCAAUAAAACAACAAUAGCAAUAUAUUAAUGUGGUUCUAUAAAUGAAUUUUGAGGAAGUACAAAAUGUAUGUUGAUUUUAUUUCAAUUUUUGCGGGAUUGAGAGAUUGUUUAAGACAAAUCUUAAGCUAAUAUCUAACAUGGGCUAAAGUUGGUCAGGAAAGACAUAUUCGUUUGAUACUUAAUAGAAUUAUACACGUAUUAUUAAUUUAUAAAAAAUUAUAAGAAAAUUUAUGUAUUAUUUUAUGCAGAGAUUACUUUUGCAUGUUUUGGUUAUUCAUGUACGUAUAAUUUCUUUCAUUUUCUAUCGUGCAUAAAUUACGCAUAAAUUCCCUCACAACUUAUACAUGUAUUAAUUCAAUAGAUUUUCAAAUUGUAAAUCAAAGACCGUAUUAAUUUGAUAUAGUGUCCUAACCAACUACCAAAUAUGAUAUUACUUAUGCGGUAUCUAAUAUAUAUAUAUAUAAUAUUUCUCAUAACCAGCUACCAAAUAAUUUAAACACUAUUCACACAUGAUAUUUUUAUCAAAUAAAUAAAUAAUGAAUAAAUACUUAAUGUAUUUUCAUUAAAACUUUUUUCACUUACUCAUAAUAUUAUAUACAAUUACAACUUUCUUUGUUUCCGUCUAUACGAUAAUAUUAUUUUUGGCCAAUCACAAUCUUUUAUAGUUAUACAAAUAUUAUAAUGUAGGUAUAUUUAAGAUCAUAAUUUGUUUUUAUCUAUUUAAUUACAAUUUUCUUUGUUUCUGUUUAUACAAAAAAUUAGUUUUAGCCAAGCACAAUCUUUUAUAGUUAUAUAAAUAUUAUAACUUAUAGUAUAUAUAUAAGAUCAUGAAAUUUAAAAAUCUUAUUUUCACAUAAAUAUUAUAAAAUAGUUUAAAACACGAAUCUUAAGCCCCCCGCCCCCCUCCCCCCACUUAUUUCUUAUUAUCAAAUACAUAGAAAUCAGAACAAAGAGAUUUAUAGUUUUAUUUCAUUUAUUAUUGAUUAAAACCCAUACCCGAUGUAGUUUGGAGUAAAUGUUGAAGGGGUAACACCUUGUUUGGAGGGUUAAUUUGCCUAUUAUAUUGUUUUGUUAGUCAAAUACAUGUUUAUUUUGAUUAUUAUUUAAAUCUUAUUAUAUCAUAUCAUUUAAACUCAUCGUCAAGUAAUAGCAAAAAGUUUCAUUUCGUGUAACAAUCGAUUUGAUUUGAUCGUGUCAUUAUCUAAUACUUUCUCCUCAUUUUGUCUUUAUUUAUUAUUCAAUAAUCAUAUUUUAUUUUUACCUAUCUUUUUAGUAGUUCUAUCACGUGUUUUUUUAGGUAUAUCAUCCAAAUUGUAGAUGCGACACAUUAUGUAAUGAUGUAAAAUGGUAUAAUUUAUUCAAACAUUAUAUAUGCAACACAUUACAAUACAAUACGAUACAUUAUGAAACAACAAGUAAGAAGUAAUUGCGAUAAAACUUAGGUCACUUUAUGAAUUUCCACGUGGCAGACAAUGAUAGCCUGUACUUUCCUAAAUCUUUAUGGUACGUCAGUAAAAAAAACCAUGGUCUUUUCUGUAAUUUGCCGUCAAUAAUAUGCCCAUUUUCGUUAGCCAUAAAAGUAAAAACCAUUACAUUAAUUACUGAACUUUUCCCAAAUAAUAUUUAAUCCAAGCCGUCCAUUCCAGCCAGCAUCUAAUCUGAACCGUCAAUACGUUUCAAAUAGAGCCAAUUCCACCGUCAAUAAAAUAUAAACGGUUCAGAUCUUGCCACGUAUUGUUAUUUUGUCAUUAUAUUUCUCGAAUUUCCCUAUCAAAAAAGCAAAUCAUCCACCGUUAAAAAAAUCAUAGACGGUGAUAAAUGGGGCCACGUGGCAACAUUUAUUAAAAAUAUAACAAAUAUUUUUAUUAAAAAGAAUCAGAUUUUCUGUCUAAAAAUUGUAAAAGCCAAAAGGAACCCUAGAGGCUUUUAUUUCUAACAUUUGGUAUUUUUUGUUAGGGUUAAAAAAAAAGUGAUACUUAUUGUUUUAAAAAGAUAAAAAUCAGUUAGGGUUUCAAAUCGGACCAAAUCACAAUACCUCAAUUUCUCUGAUCGGAGCCCUAGAAUUCAUCCUCCUGCAUGUGGUGGAUCUUCGUCAUUUUCGAUUAUUCCGAGGUAAAGGUACGUGGAUUUAUUGAUUUUGAUGUAAUCAAUUGAGUUGAGAGGAAAUGAUGCAUACAGUUUUUGUGUGUUUUGUUUAAUUUGAAGGGGUUUUUGUGUUUGAUUUAGUAUUUUGUUGUGGAAUUGUGGUUAACAAAUCUGGAAGCAUGUGUUUGUGUGUGAAAAUGAUAUGAAAUUUGGGGAAGUGGUUGUUUUAUUGGGAUUAAGUGAUUACUGUAGAUUGAAAGUGAUGUAGAAGAGAAAUCUGGUGGUAGUUCUAUAGAGAAUUCGAAGAAACAAAGGUCUUUGGAUUUGCAGACACUAUAUAUGUCUGGGGAUUCGAAGAAGGGGAAGGUUUCUGUUGGGGAGAGUUAUGUUGAAGAAAAAGAAGAAAAAGAAGAGAAAGAGUAUAAAAGAGGUGUCAUUGGACAAGCCUGAGCCAUCUGGUAAAAAGAGUAGGAGUAGUAAGGAUGAGGAUCAUGUGAAUGGGGAUAGUGUCGGACCAGCUGAAUCGCAGUUAUCAUCAUCGAAGUUGGAGAAAGGAUUGGAUUACAGCAAUCGGCUGAGUGGAUUUUCUCUUAAGUUCGAUAUUAAUGGUAAUGUUAUUCCAAGGCGACCACGUGGUUUUGUGGGGGCGAAGUAAGUUUAAUAACAGUUGAGCUUUGCAGUUAUCGAGGGUUCAGACUUCUGUCAUUGGAAAUGACAAGAUAGAAGGUGAACUUGACAAAACUGAGGGUGAUCAGCUUCUAAAAAAGUGUGCCUUGUCUGGCGGAGAAGCUAAAAGUGAUGAACGGAGUUCUAAAUUACCUAGUCAUUCAGCUAGCAAUGGUGUUACUGUCAAGGUAAAGAGAAAGAGAAGUGCUGACGAUUCCCGAGAAAAGAAAAAAGAUAAGGUAAGUUCAAGUCAGGAUGCUAAAGAAGAUGGUCAUGUAGUUGUAAAUAAUGGUGAAACAUCUUCUGGAAAGCACCUGAGUACUCGUAACAAGAGAAAGGAUUCGUCAUCUAGAAGUAGAAAAUCUGUAAAGAAUGAUGUACCAUCUGGAGAUAAUUUAGGAAGCUUUUGUCAAGGUUCUCUGAAUGAUGAUGAUGAGGUGAACCUUGAGCAGAAUGCAUGCAUGAUGCUGUCGUCGAUAUUUGACCCUAGUUGUACAGGGUUUUCUUCAAAAAACAUCUUCAGCAACGCAAUCUGCUGAACGAUUAUCUUCUUUACUCACUUCUGAUCAGGAUUUUGUUAGUCGAGAGGGGAAUUCCUUGACUGGAUCAGAAUCUGUAUCAGUUGAUACUACUAGCAGAGUUCUACGACCAAGACAGGAGCUCAAAGAGAGGGGUAUUUCUAGGAAACGCCAUCAUUUCAAUGAAGUUUUUCCUAGGGACUUGGAUGCUCACUGUCUAUUGAACCGAAGGAUUAAAAUCUUCUGGCCAUUAGAUGAGAGUUGGUAUUAUGGUCUUUUGAAUGAUUACGAUCCAGAGAGGAAACUCCAUCAUGUUAAAUAUGAUGAUUGAGAUGAGGAAUGGAUAAACCUAGAAAGUGAGAGGUUUAAACUUUUGCUUUUCCCUGGGGAGGUACCAGGAAAAAAGAAAGUAAAAAAAUCUGCAAAUGCUACAGAAAGCAUUGACGAAAGAAAACUUGACUUGGUCGUAGAUGAUGACAGCCACCAAGGUAACUGUCCGGACUCUGAGCCCAUUAUAUCUUGGUUGGCUCGAUCAUCUCGUCGAGUAAAGUCUUCUCCUUCCAGGCCAUUGAAGAAACAGAAAACAUUGCAGUUAUCUACACCUGUUGUGUCAUCACCGGUGCAUGUCAAAACUGACGGCACAGGCUGGAAUUUAGGUUCCUUGAACAACUGUAUAGGCAGGACAGAUAAUGAUGUUCUAUUGCCAGAGAAACUGAUUGAUCAUUCUCAAUUCUUUUGUCGAAAGUCAUAGCAGCCCCAAUGAUGGAAAACCUGUUGUUUAUGUUCGAAAACGUUUCCGUAAGAUGGAUGGACUUCCUGUGUAUAAAGCUGACAAAGCUUACGUAGCUGAUAUACCUACUGUUUCUGUAGCACCGGUUAUGGAUGAAUUACAGAACUACAAAGCCAGUGUUAUGUGCAUCCCUGGCCCUCAGAGUGAGAAGUUUCUGUCUGCAAUUGAUAAUGAAGGGGUGCUAAGGUUACACAGGCCAUUGCUAGAAGCUAAGCAAUUCAGGGUGGAAAUAUGCCUACCCGUUUUACCUUUGUUGCUGCUUGAAGCAGAACAGAGUUGGUUAUCUCGUUCUGUUUGACUACUGUAGCAUGGUGCCAUUAUGAUAAGGUGGCCAGCUUUUUUUUUAGAGAUGCUUUUUGUUGAUAAUGUAGUUGGACUCAGGUUUCUUUUAUUUGAGUGUUACCUCAACCAUGCCGUGGCCUUUAUUUUCUUUGUCCUAACAUUAUUCAAUCAAGCUGAUGAAGAGUGGAGGUAUGAAAGUCUUCAGUUACUUGUAACUUCAGUAAGGUUUAGGCUGUCUUUUAUUCAGGAUUCUAGGAAGCAGCAAUCUUUUGCAUUUUCCUGUUUCUCCAAACUCAAAAACUCAAAAUGGUUAUACCUGGACUCCAAGCUUCAGAAAUGUAGUUUGCUUGCUAGGCAGCUGCCUCUCUCUGAGUGCUCAUAUGAGAAUAUCAAGUCCCUCAUUUAAGGUAUUUCUCAUUCUCAAUAUGAUGUGUAUGGUUGCUAUAUCUUUUUUGUUCUUCUUUCUGAUCUGUCUUAUUAAGGUACUUAUUGUUCUUAAUUCUAUAGAAUAUUGGUAGGAAUGUUUGAUAUUUCUCCUUUUUCAUCUUUCUUCUGUUCUUUACUUUUUCCCUUCCAUCAUUCUAGAUUUUACUAUUUUGUUCUUUACAUCCAUAUGUUAUUUACAUCCAUAUGUUAUUUACUUGCAGAAGAAGUUGGUGCCAGGUUGUCUCCCCAAAGGCACCUCGACAGAGUUCUGCAGUGCAAGGUUUACUAGUUCUACUCUUAGUUCUGCAAUGAAGCUCGGAAGAGUUCCUCCUUUUGCUCUUUCAUUUGCUGUUGCACCCACUUUCUUCAUAUGUCUACACCUUAGGUUACUCAUGGAACACAACUUUGCCUAUGUUAGCCUUCAGGAUUAUAGUUCUAUAAAUGCUUGCUAGCCAGUUAAAAAUGAUGGCAGCCGGGUGAAGUGCUCUGAGAUCGCUGGCUCUGAGGAUAUUGCAGAAACUUCAUUUACUAGAGCUAUUUCUGCAGGAGGGUCAUCAUUUGCUGAGUGGCAGCUGGGAAGUUUGGCAUGUAAACAACAGCUGGAGAGUACGCGUGUUCCAUUGAAGUCAUCUCAAAAUUGUCAAUUAGAUGUUUCCCGGAGCCCUUUCACCGCCAAACAUUCUGAAUUGGACACGUCAGAUGUGACUGUUGUGUCAAACAAUUUGGAAUCUGAUGAUCAAGUACUGGACCAGUUUGUUGGAUCUCCAAGAAGAAGACAUUCUAAGAAUUUAUCUCACCGCUUGUCUAAUGCUCGGUGCCAUUCUGGUUUGGUGGGGAUGAGUGUUGUAAUUCCAUCAUCUGACCAAGUUGAGGGACUAUCUGAUGGAAAAGAAAUUAUCGUGGGAGAGGCAUGUCAUUUGAGUCUGAAUACAGGUGAUGACUUGAUUUCCAGCCCAAACCAUACUGUUACAAGUGAUGUGGUACGGAGCUGUAAUAUUACUGGAACGGGUGAUCGCCUGGUCCAGAGUCCCAACCCUUCAGGCCCAGGAGGUUUGCCACAUCGUAAAAGAAACAACUCUAGUUCUUCUCCUUUUGGAGAAAUUUCUCCUGUAUGGAUUGAUGGCAAGGCUAAUUUUACAGGGGUGGGUUUGGCAAUUGCCCAAAGAAACCUCGAACGCAGGUGCAGUACACACUGCCAUAUGGAGGUUAUGACUUCAGUUCAAUGCACAAAAAUCAAAGCCCAUGAACUCUUCCUUAUAAAAGAAUUAGAAGAGCUAGUGAGAAGAAGAAUGCAGAUAGUUGUGGUGGUUCGCAGAGAAAUAUUGAGUUACUAGCUUGCAAUUCAAAUGUGUUGGUUACUCUUGGGGGGGUCAAAGGGUGGAGAGAAUUUGGUGCACGUAUAGUCCUGGAAAUUGCUGGUCACAAUGAAUGGAGGAUUGCUGUCAAAUUUUUUGGAAUUACCAAGUAUUCAUAUAAAGUUCAUAAUGUUUUUCUACCUGGCUCUACCAACCACUUUGCGCAUGCCAUGAUGUGGAAAAGGGGGAAGUUGGGUCCUGGAGUUCCCUGACAGAAGCCAGUGGAUGUUGUUCAAGGAGUUGCAUGAAGAGUGUUAUAAAAGGAAUAUACUUGCUGCAUCCGAAGUCACUAUUCCCGGUGUUCGUUUGAUAGAAGCCACUAUUCCCGGUGAUCGUUUGAUAGAAGAAAUCGAAGAUUAUGCAUCCGAAGUCUCCUUCAUUCGCUCUUCACCAAAGUACUAUCGACAGACAGAAAGUGAUGUUGAAAUGGCUAUGGAUCCGUCACGUAUACUGUAUGACAUGGAUAGUGAGGAUGAGCAGUGGUUAUCGAAGAAUAAUUUUUCUUGCUCUGGUGAGAGUAAAUAUGAAGAGAUAUCUGACGAAUUCUUUGAGAAGGCCAUGGACAUGUUUGAGAAAGUUGCAUAUGCCCGACAUCGUGAUCACUUUGCGCCUAAUGAGCUGGAAGAGCUGAUGGUUGGUGUAGGGCCAAUGGAAGUAGUUAAAUUCAUUCAUGAGCAUUGGCAGAAUAAGCGGCAUAAGAAUGGCAUGACGUUAGUACGCCAUCUCCAGGUACGAUUACAUUGAAAUUAACUACUUUAAAUUACGCUAACAGACUAGUGCCAGCAUGCUCCUAUGUCGGUACACAUGUAGGCUGUUAUUAGCUGCUGAAAAAAUGUAUUUGACAAGUGCCAAAUUGUUUGACUGGCAGUCUUGUCAUAAACUUAUAAUAUUUCUUUUCUCAACAAGCUUAGAUUUAAACAAACUUUUAAGGGGUUAGAAUCCAUUAUCCUUGGAAUCUAUUACUUGUGGGAUUUGACCAAGUUUGGUAGUUUUCCCCCCUGCAAAUGGAGAAGGGACAAAAUUGUUUAUGGGAUAACUUACUUAACAAAAGAAUUGUUUAUACAAUAUUUCUUUGACUUUUGCUUCUUUCUUCCUUCUUAAUAAUCUGGCGUCCCUAUGGUCUCUGGACCAAAACUAUUAAAAUUGCAAUGCUUUUUGUUUAUUCCACAAGAUGGUCCACUUCAGUUCACAGUACUCGAGCAUCUCUUUGUAGAGCAAUAUAUUCUACUUUAAGUGGGCAUCACAUUAUGCCCAACAGUUUGACUUGGUUAAUAUGGACAAUGUUUUCUUUUCCAUUUUCUGUGCAUGCCACCUUAGCGGAGUCUGCGUUGCAUCACCUAGUAUCAUCCAUUGACCUCCAUAGAAUUAAGAAACAUUGUCCAUAUUAAUAAUUUGUCUUCAGUGUAGAAGAAGAUGCGUAACUGAUUCUGUAGUUUGUUCACAGACGUAGCACCUGCUGUCUAUAUCUCAUCCUUUGUAAAAUUAGGACGUGCCUUGGUUUUCUGUGUCUAUUUUCCAUGACAAGUUCUUCUAUGUCCUUGCUUGACUAGGAUCUUAUAACAUGAUUUACCUGUAAAGACUCCACUUUUACUGCUUGUCCAGUGUCUAGAAUUACUUAAAUUUACCCUUUCAAUUACCCAAGAGUGUGGCCUAGUGGUCAAUGAAGUGAGUUGAAAAACUCCACUUUUACUGCUUUUCUAGGUCCCUUCUUCUGUCUAUUCCUCUAUUUGGAAUAGUUUGAAAAACUUCCUUCAUAUUUUUUCAAAACAAGACAAUCUUUCUUAAGAUGUCCCUCUCAACCACAAUGCACACAAAGAAAAUCAUCAGCAUCAGAAACAGUUUUGUUUUGAGGAUUGUGUGGGGAAUAUUUCUUCUCACAGCCCAGCCCUCUUCUACUGUUAUUACCCUGACUGAUUAAAUUUGUAAGUAUUUUAGAGGAAGUAGUCCAUUUGAUAGAUUUGUUCAGUUCCUCUUUUACACGGACCAUGUCCCUCUCCAGAACAAGAUUUCUUUCUAGAGCCAAUUUCAUCUUCAUUUCAGCAGUUUGCAGCUUAUUUUCAAUCUCCAGCUGCAAGCUACUGGCCUCAUUCUUUCCUUUAGAAACGGUAGUAGUCACCCUUUUUAUCUUUUCCUUCAGUUCUGUAUUUUCAGCUUCUAGAACAAUCUUUUCUUUUUCAAUAUCAGAUAUUUGGGUAACUAGGCCAAUUUUUUCAUCUUGAGAGAUGUCUAGACAAUUGUUCAUGAGAUCAUUCUCAGUCGUUAGCUCACUUAUCAUAUCAUUUAGUACAACAACCAGCUUUUUCAAUUUACUAAUAGAAUAGUUAUUUAAGUUUUGCUUGAAGUAUGAUAAUGUUACCUCUUCAUUAACAUCUUCAUCAUCUAACUCUUCCAUGAAAGCAUCAUCAGAGUGUUCAGAAACAUCUAAAUCACUUUAGGUAUUUCCCCAGACUGUUAGAGCUUUCUUCACCGCAUGAUUAACCAUUUCUAUUCUGCUUGACUUCUCAUGGACAUAGUCCCCCUCUUUGUCUUUGCCCUCGAGAAUGAGACUCUCCCAUGUUCUAUGCAUCUCAUGAACUUGAUGAUGCUCAAAUAGUGCAUACAAUGUCACUACUUCAGGUUCCCUUGUCUCAUUGCCAGUCAUAAAAUCUCUAGGAAGAAUUUCCAGUAUCUUAGAGACUUGCUUGCACAUAGGGACUGGUUAUUCAAGGAACAUAAACUCAUCUAUAAUGGUGGAGAAUCUAGUACGCAUUUCAUGAAUGGAUUCACUUCUUUUAUGGUGAAACUUUCAAACUGAGUAGUAAAGAGAUCUAGCUUAGAUUUUCUUGUUUCCUCAGUACCCUCAUAAGUUGUUCUUAACAGAUCCCAGAUUUCCUUGACUGAUUCACAAGAUGAGAUCAGAUCGUAUUCAUUUAUUCUAAUGCCACACAUCAGUAGCUUCCUGGCUUUGUGAUUUUUCUAGACUAACCUUCUGUCAGAGUCAUUAUAUUGUUAUCAAGUUUUGGGAAUGACUCUUGUGACCUCUCCAUUUUUAACCUCCAUAGUUGGCACAUAAGGACCUUCACAAAUAAUGUUUCAUACCUCAAUGUCCUUAGCCAUGAGAUAGUCUCUCAUUCAAAUCUUCCACCAUCUAUAGAACUGACCAUCAAAAAGAGGUGGCCUUGUGGGGGAUUGACUUCUUUGCAGGUUCAGUGGUGUCGCCAUUCCUCGUAGGAAUCUCUCUCUUGGUGUUAACCAAAUAGAGAGCCCAAGCUCUGAUACCAAUUGUUGAAAUGUACGAUCAUUGCUCAAGGGAGUAAAACGACAUGUCACACAUGAUUUUCAAAUUGUUUUCACUAAUCUUCUCAAGUAAAAGCGAAACACAGUUUACAACUGCAACCGUGAGAUUAACACCCUAAUCCCAUACUAAGUAAUAUUCCUAUUACUUAAAUGAGCCAAAGCAAUAAUUCUAUUGCCCACUAAACCAACUAACUCUAGUUGAUCUAGACUUUAAGAACCCCCAAGGCUAACUUUAGCAACCAACUCCGAUCUCCAAGACAAGAACAUAAAUGAGCAGCAACUUUACUGCACCACACAUCAACUAACUCUAGUUGACACUCUUAGGCAACUCUACCCAAGACAACAUCAAAACAAUGAUGUAAAAGCUUGACUAAGACAAGAUGAUUCGACUAACUAACUCUAGUUAAUACGACUCAAACUAAAAACUUAGACAAGCACUGAUCUACUAUCCUUUAUAACUUGGGAGUAGAUUUACAAUUUAAGCACAUAAAAUACAAAGCUCUAAAUACAACAAGACGCUUCAGCACUCCAUCAGGUCCCUUGUUGAUAUGAGCAGUGUUCUUCCUUGAAGAUGGCCUUCACAUUUCAAGCUUAUGAAUUUUCAGAGAAAAUCCAAGUUUUUGUUUUCCAAAUCUUGAGUUUGUGUUUUGGAGAAGAAACUAUAUCAAAAGGACACAAACUCAUUGGGACCGCCCAUUGGCUGAGAGCCUGCUUCUCUGGAAAGACAUGCACCUACCACAACAGAGGUGGCAGUUUUUCUGACAGCUGUCUUGUCGUCCUUUUCACAUAUGCAGUCUUGCAGGGACCAGGUCCCUUGCAGUGUUCUUUGUGAGUUCUUGAGAAGACUUGCUAACUCUCUUUCUUUUUUGAAUGAAUGAAUCUUCUUAUUGUUUGUCAUUUUGAUUAUAUCGACCAAAAAGAAUUAUUGUCCGUUGGACAAACAACCUCAUCCGUUUCUAUUGGUGAAGUACGCUGACGACUUCACCAACCCGCUGACAUGACAGCUUUACAGUUGUACAUCAUUAUAAAUCUAGACGAGAGAACUCUAUCAGGGAUCGGGUCCCUGCAUUUGUGAGCCACUGAAAUAGACAGUCUCGUCCGCUCUUCCUAUUGGUGCAGUACACUGCACUUUUCACCUACCACCUGACAUGACAACUUUACAGUUGUACCCCAUUUGAAUCUGGACGAGAGCAUUCUGCCAGGGAUUGGGUCCCUGCAUUUGUGAGGAUCAUCAAAACACCUAGAAUAUCACAUUUUCCCCCUUUUUGAUGAUGACACACAAAUAUUUCUCACACUGAGUUUAUUCAUUCAUUUCCCCUGUCGUCAGUCUCAAUAACAAGGAUUUGGUUUCUUGUUAGAUCCCUAAGUUUGUUAAAUCAUCAAAACUUAACAUCAGCUCCAAACUAACACCUACAUUAUUGAGUGAGGAUGUGGUAAACUGAGCCAAAUGAUUUUAUCUUCUUGUAUUUGACCUAAACAGGACAAACUCUGUGCGUUUCGGUCUUAGCCGUUAAUCCAGCUACAUAUGAACUUUACUCCCCUUAAUCCACGUUUUAUUCUUAAUUUUUUUGUGUCCGAUUUCACUAACAACUAUUUAUUUACAUUAUGCCUUGUGAAGCAACAAAAUAUAUGAGUAUUAGAUUAAGAGAACAACAUAUGUAUGGUAGAAUUUGAAAACAAUCAUAUAAUUAGGAAGAUGUUCAUAUAAUGUCCAUAACCCUAUAAUGAAAACUUUUAGCCACUCAUUAUCUGAUUACACGUAGAAGAAUUCAUAAACAAUAAUGAAAAUAAGAUUUAAAAAAAAUUCUAGAAUAAUGAUAAAUAUUCUUGCCUUUGCGAGUUUGCCCACUUUUUACUUCAUAAUUAGUCCAAUUAAGUUCUUUUCACCUUCAAAGCAUAAAACACUUUUCAUAAGCUCAAAAUCAUGUGAUCGAAUGAAAACAAGGAGUAUCAAGCUAGAAAUUACUUGGAACAAUGCUCAAAUGUAGAUAAAACAUGACCAAAAAGAGUGAAAAUUCACUCAACAUCCGCCAACAAAAAAGAUCUCAAGCAAAAACAAAAAAUUCAAAGAUCACAUUUCAGCUCCCUUGAAUGAUUAGAUCACCUCGUGCAUUUAAAUCACCUCUCUUUGUAAUGAGGAUAUGCGUCUUCUAUCCUCCAAGUAAGAUUAAGGAGUCCUUGUAAGUACUUGGUGGUACAACUCCUUGAAAUCUCAUUACUAAACGUUUGUGGAUGAUGAAUAAAUUUAAACAAACAAUUCUUUGCUCCAAGCAAUUUGGGCACAUCUCAACUAAUUCAGUAUAUACAUAUAUAUAUAUAUAUAUAUUAUACAAGAAACAAUUUGCACACAUCUCAAGGUAAGUACCACUUUCUACCACACAAAUACCAAGUAGUUAUGUUCCCCAAACGUGAGACAAAUGACAUUCUAAGAACACAAUCGCCCCAAUGUAUCGAUAAAAUAGAAAUACUACAACAAAUAACAUUCUCAUUCACCAAAACCUUAGUUCAAUAGGUACUAGCACCUAUAUGCAACACUUUUACACAUAAGCUACUCUCUACAUCUCCGAAUACCAUUCUCAUACAGUAAAAUUGUCCAUCCAGUAGCUUUUUUUUUCUCAUUUCUCUUCACUUUUUAAGCCAAGCUCCAAGAACUAGUCCAUAGUGUUUUUUGUGUCCUAAAAACCAAACCUAGAGCCCUAAUCUUAUUCUACAUCAGCAAAAACAUGCUUUUGUGUACCAAACUGUUUGGAACUCGAACCAUUGAUGCUAAUCAUUCCAAGUUGUGGUAGAAUUUAUCGCGUUGGUUGCUGGUUGUAAUGGCUCUUCUCUUUCUUCUUUGCUGCAGCAAGCUUGGAAUUCCGUGCAGAAGCCUCUAUUGCGGCUGCUCUUGCAGCAGCAUCUGUCUCUUUCCCAGAUUUCUUUUUCUUUGCCGAAGCCACCCUUUUCAGCCUCUCCUUCAUAUCCACUGUUGACACAUCUUCUACUGGUCCAACUCCUCCAGUUUCCUCGGGUCCAGUAGUGGCAUCUACAUUGUUCGGCUGAUCCUCUGAUUCCUUCACCUCCUUGGAUGCUUUGUCCUUCUUUUUCUUCUUCUUUGCACUUUUAGGCUCUAUGGCCCCACCAUUUUUCUUUUCUACAUCUUCUGAUGGCUGACCCUCUUUCUUCUCAUUAGCAACAUCUGUAAUUAUAGAGAAACAUUUAGGAAAAUCCACCUUCAGAUACCUAUUGAGUCAAACUAGGCAUCUUAACCACAUAAUGACAGCAAGUGCUAACCAAAAGAAAAAGUAGUCCAUAAAAUGAAAAGAGAAUGUGAUAUCAGUCUUAAGGAGGUGAGCCAUCAAUUUCAUCACAAUUUUUUUUGUUUUUUGAUAACCGAGAAGUCCGUCUAUGACCCGUCCUUUGGACCAAUCAUAGCCUUCUAAACUCGGUGGAUAAUGGAACCGCCCUUCUACCCUUCUCCACUUAAAUACCGAGCUUCGCUUUGCAUGGUGUGGGGCUUGAACAUGAGACCUAAGCCACAAAUCCUCCACCUUUUGCCACUUCAGCUAGGCCUUGGGGGCCAAUUUCAUCACAAUUUCAAUAACUAUUUACUAAGGGAAACACCAUUAUCACUUAUCAGUACACGAGGCAAAAGAAUCACCAGGUAAGUCUUCUAGACCGUUCUUCUUUUGUUCCACCCCAAAAUCAGCUAAAAGUACCUCCAAUUCAGCAAGCUCCUUUUUCCUUCUCUCUUUCUUCGAUAGUUGUCUCUCAGCUUCUUUAGGAGCUGGUGAAGCUUCUAUCUUUUGGCCUACUGGCUCAGCAUGUUCUGGAACCUCAGAUUCGUGGUCAUUAUCCUCCACAUCUUCAUCUUCAUCAAGAAGGUCGUCCUCACUUUCUGUUUUCUGCAAACCCAAUUACAAAUUUAGUAUAUGCGCAGUACCAACUCGAACAAACGUUCCAACUUUUAUGGCAGCCAAAUAUUGCAAUAAUUUGUGUUAUUUACUUCAUUUUCCUUCUUUUUGAACUUUCUAUUCCCUCAUGAAAGAAAAUUAAUCCCUAAAUAUUGAAAGAACAAACAACACAGAAAACAUAGACAUGAGAGUAGGGAGUCAACAGAACAAUAAAUCAUUAAGCAAAAUGAACAUACAUAAGGAAUAAAAUAUGCAUGGAAGAAACUAUUAACUUGUAAAAGUCCGGGAGUCCAAAGAGAAAGGAAACACUAGCUACGCUUGCAGCCACAGGCCCCAACCAAACAUUCCAAUUUCAAAAAAGAACAUUUUUAGAACCAAAAAAUCAAAUAAGGAAGUCGUCUUAAAAGCCCAACAUUCUCCUACAAUGUGACUUAAACAAACACCUCAAAGCGAUGGAAACAAUCAUCCUAUAGGCAGUACCAACUAUUGGAACUUGGAAUUAAGGCUUAAUUGUUAUUGUUUCAUUUACACUAAGUCGGGCCUUUGCCAAGAGUUCUCUUAGCUUGGCUAGAAACUUGUAUGCUAGGGACUGAAGGAAACCACAGAUGUUUUGAUGUAAUUUCAACUCCUAAGUGUUCCCUAAAAGCUAGAUGUUUGGUUAACCUUUAUAGUUGGGGUUAAUCUAUCCUCUGGUAUUCACCAGCUCCUUAGUCUUAUGAUAUUUCUUUCAUAAUCUCUGCAACUUAUUUAUGACAUUUAACUUACUUCAUCGAAUCUGCCCCCCCGGAUAUUACUUCGCGCCGUUCCAUAACUUGUACUCCCUCCAUUUAAAAAGGAAUGUCUUUUUCCCUUUUUGACAACUCUAUAUUUCAACUUUCCACAUACAUGUUUAAAGACCACAAGACUAAAGGACAUUUUGUUUAGUCUAAAAUCCCAAGAUUCAAAAAAGUUCUCCACUUUCUUAAACUCCAUGUAAAAGUCAAAACCAAACAAACAUUGAAAUAAUGGACUAUGUUAGUGUAGGAACAAGUUCGAGAUAGAACUAGAACUGGUUGAGAAACACUAACUUGCUUGGAAAUCAAAUGACUUUCUAUUGGAAUUCGACAGGUCCUAAAAGAGCAUACCACAACUAGUUCAGGGUUGAAAACACAGUAAUUUAACUGACUAAACAAGACAUAACACUGUAUUUGCUUGUGGAUUCUUCAACCACUUCUCAAAUAUAACAUUGAAUUUUUUCAAUUAUCAGAGAAGUUAAAAAUACAAUCUACCACACUUAUAUCCCUAACCUAAAAAUCCAAAAAAAUUCAUAUCCAAAGAACAGAACAAUACCUCAACAGGUUCAAGUUUUUUUCCAAAUUUAAUGGAACCCACAAAAGACUGAAGAGGAGCAGUGGUGGCGUAGUAAUCGUCAUCAUCUUCGACAUCAACAUCUGCCCAAGAUUUCACCGUCAACGGCGCCGGAGCCCACAAAACUUCCGGCUCCUGUUUUUUUUCCGAUGACCCUUUACUUUUCCCUUAUCAGAUUUCUUCUUUUUCCUCAAAGUAUCAAGCGCCGCAAAUACAUUGAAAUUUUUCACCAUCACAGACCCUUCUUCCCUUCUGUUACUCCCCAUCAUUUCAACCAAGUAAACAAAGAAAAAUAAACUAGAAGAAAUUGGAGAACAGUCGUAGGAAUGGAUUUGUUCAAAUAAUUUUUUUAGGGUUUAGGGAAGUUCUUGAUAGAUAAAUGGGGAGAUAACACGAGUGAGAGAGAAGAAAUAGAGGGUUAUAUAGUUUUGGCCUAUUGUGAUUUGCUCCACUAAUUAUAUUUUUGGCAAAAAGCAUAAAUCCCGCCCUAAACGAAUACCCAAAAGUCAUUUACACAGUUUAACUAAUGGGAUGACCUAUUACACACCUUAAGUACAUAAAAGUAUAUUUAUUUCCCCCUUCCGUCACCCAACCCAGGACAUUAUGCCUAGAGUGAGAGCCACUCGCCUCCUAGUUAAGUCACGUAAUAAAAUACCCCAAUCCGAUUCAUUUGACCCAAACCCGUUUCUUUUCACCCAAACCGAUUCUUUUCACCCAAAUCCAUUUUUUAUUUUACCAUAGUCCAUUUAUUUCACCCACCCGUUUCUUUUCUCUAAGAACACUAAAACCUAAUCGAAAAAAUUCAUCUGUAAAUCCUAAUUUUAGCUAAAGAUUUCUUUGAUUUUGUGGUGUUUUUGGUACAAUCGAGGCGUUCAUCGUUCAUAGUUUGUUGUCGUCUCCAUAUCUGAAAGGUCAGUCAAACAUUUCUAGGAUUACUUCAUAGUUCAUACUUUUUAGGUUAGGGUUAUUUUGUCUUUACUUUUUCUUUCAAGUUUACUGUAUGUCGUCUUUCAUUCACAUGAUUCCUGUCACACCCCGAGACUACCCUCGAGACGCGAACACGGGACCUAGGACCACAUGUGAUCUCAAGCUAACCCUGCUGGCAUGAUCAUGGGCAUACUAAAGAUAAUAAACUGAUGCAGAAGCUAAAUCAUAAAUAACAUGAAAAGAUGGGGAAUACCCAUAUACUAUAACUGAGAUAUAAAAAAAACUGGUGAGUCUAAUACAAAGAAGAUAUUAACUCAAUACUAAGCUGAAUCUAACUAUGUCUGAAAUAAGCCUCUAAACUGACUAAAAAUGUUGGGACAUGCCNNNNNNNNNNNNNNNNNNNNNNNNNNNNNNNNNNNNNNNNNNNNNNNNNNNNNNNNNNNNNNNNNNNNNNNNNNNNNNNNNNNNNNNNNNNNNNNNNNNNNNNNNNNNNNNNNNNNNNNNNNNNNNNNNNNNNNNNNNNNNNNNNNNNNNNNNNNNNNNNNNNNNNNNNNNNNNNNNNNNNNNNNNNNNNNNNNNNNNNNNNNNNNNNNNNNNNNNNNNNNNNNNNNNNNNNNNNNNNNNNNNNNNNNNNNNNNNNNNNNNNNNNNNNNNNNNNNNNNNNNNNNNNNNNNNNNNNNNNNNNNNNNNNNNNNNNNNNNNNNNNNNNNNNNNNNNNNNNNNNNNNNNNNNNNNNNNNNNNNNNNNNNNNNNNNNNNNNNNNNNNNNNNNNNNNNNNNNNNNNNNNNNNNNNNNNNNNNNNNNNNUUACAGAGUGGACUUACACCUACGUGGCUCGUAGUUCUGGGACUAUAUGGGUACGCUGAACCCUAGUCCAACUCGGUAUUAUGCUACUCCCAAUGAAUUAAGUAGUUAACUGGUUAUGACUGAAUUUCUGUGAAUACUGGAUAGCUCGAACUGAACAUGCAAACUGAGAAUGUAACAAUUAAUCUGAUAAUGAUACAUUCAUAAAUUGAGGCAUGUAUAACUGAAUACUGAAAUAUCUGACCUAGCAUGUGUAAUUCGAGAACUAAAGAAAUACAUAGCUAGGGUUCUGAAAUUUAUGCAAUAAACUGAGAAAUAACAUGAUAAACUAAUUUGGAACAUACUAAUAACUAAUUCAUGAUGAUCUGUUGUAAUUCUAGAAACUCUAGGUCUGUUCAUAAUCAUUGAAUCAAGAAUCUGACUGAAUUCUAGGGACCUAAUGGGUGAAAGGAACCCACUAGUGAAAAUCCUACAUACCUGGUGACGAAUUUCACGGAGAAAUCCUUUGAUUUCUGGGCUGGACCUGAAGAAAACUUGUUGCGUUCUUGAACUAGGGUUCUUAACCUUUUUCUCCUCUUUUGCUUCUAAUUUUCUAAGUUUUGAUUAAUGAUUUGACUUGGAUAAGUUCUAGUUAUGUUUCUAGUCUUAAGCUGACUAAAACCUCAUGAUUUAGGGUCUAAACGACGUAUCUUAGGGGUCUAAUGAAAUAGGAAAAGACCAAAAGACCCCUGACUUAAUUGUUGUCUGAGUGACCGACGGAUUGGACUGACGGGCCGUAGGUCAAUCGAAGGUCCGUCGAUUGGAGUCGUCGGUCGAGUCUGUCGAUAGGGCUUCACUAAAACAAGCAUAACUUUUUACUCGGAGGUCGAAUUUUAGCAAACUUGGUGGCGUUGGAAAGAGGAUUCAAUUAUUUAUCAUAUCAUAGGUCAUGGGACACACAAUUAUUUUUGUGCUAAAAUUUAUGACAAUUUGAAGUUGACCCAAAUCAUAUUUUUCAUCUAACUGGCUGCUAACCCUUACCUACGGUCAGACCUACGGACCGUGCAUCGAAUGACGGUCCUUGCUGGUCAACCGUCAAUCGGGACUGAAGCUGGGCUUUAGGGGCAUCGAUCCACGGACACGAACCACGAUCCGUGACCUGACCUACGGAUCGUAGGUCCAACCGUGGGUCAACACUUGGCCGAAUUUCUGGCUGAGUUCUGGGGGAGUUUGCUGACACGAACCACGGACCUGCAGGACGGACCGUGGGUCCUCUUACGAUCCGUGGAUGGUGCCCGUGAGUGCCACCUGCAACACCAGAACUCUGCAAUAUGGUCUAUUUUCGGAUACGGGGUGUUACAAUUCCCAUUUGUUGUUGUAUGAAUUUUGUUGUUGUAUAUGUUUUGUCGUUUUUGUUGAGGGUCAACUGAUAACAUUAUUUUCAUAUUAAAAUGUCUUUUGAAUUGAUUACUUUGAGAUUUUAUCACGUGGUGUUAUUAAGAUUGGAAAAAAGGGAUACAAGGGGAAACCAUAUCAUGGUGAAGGAGUUUAUGAGUUUUUAGAUGUUGAUAUAGGUAGGUUAUCUUAUUUUGAAUUGAGGGAUUGUCUGAAAGAGUUGGGGUAUGAACCUGGACAAUGUGUGUUGUAUGUGAAACUUCCUAGAUGUACUGCUAUGUUAGAAAUCAAAUCUGACUAUGAUACUACUUUAAUUACUGAGUGUUUGAGUCAUGGAGAUAUUUUGGACUGUUUUUUGUCACUUUAUUGCUGAUCCAGUUUUGGUCCCACCUUUAUUAGAAUAUGGGGAAAGUGGAGUAGGUAAGGGAGCAUCUCAAAACAGUGGGCCUAAUGCAUCUUUUGAUGCUGAAUUAGAACCAACACAUGAGGCCCAAGAAAAUGCCACACAUAAGGCCUAAGAAAAUGCCUCAAACCUUGCCUCAAACCCUGCCCUUGCUUAUGCCCCUGCCUUUGUCAAUUCAAAUACAUCUUCUCAUGUACACUCUUUCACUGCUCCAAAUACUCCUCCUCCUACUAAUCAAACUCCAACCCCUAUCCAUCCUUCUAUUGAUCCAACUCUUGACCAUGUUCAUCCUUCCUCUGAUCCAAUUUCUGACCUUGUCCAUCCUUCUAAUGAACAAUAUUCAGAUAGAGAAUCAUUGAAUGGGAGGGGGGGAAUUAAUGGGAAUGAUAUAGAUGAUGAACUAAGAAGUUUUAGGGAGGAAAGGAGUAAAAGAAAGAGAAGGAAAAGGGGAGAAAGAGCUCUAUUGCUUGAUCAUGUCAAGUUAGGAACAUAAAAAAUAUGGGCCAGAUGCUGCGUAUGAUGAAUCUACAGGUGGUAAUAGAAAUAACUUAGAAGGCAAGCUAGCUGGUGAUGAGCCUGAUUAUCCCUCAGAUGAAGCUGCCAGUUUUGAAACAGAUCCAGAUGCUUUCAGUGAUGAUGAAGAGGUUCAACAAAGAGAGAGAGUUAAGCCAAGAAGGAGAAAGAAGGUGAAUAGAGUUGUAUUUGAUAUAUCUUCUCAGAAAGUAGUGUGGAAAUUGGGUCUUGUAUUUGAAAGUGUUAAUGAGUUUAGAUCUGUUGUUACCAAAUAUGUUGUUGCUGAACAUGUUGCAAUUGAAAUGUAUAUUAAUGAACCAACAAGGGUAAGGGUUAGGUGUACAGUUAGCUGUCCUUGGGUUUUAUUUGCUAGCUUUGAUUCUAGGACAAAUAAUUUUGUUGUAAAGACAUACAAUCCAGUUUACAAAUGUGUUCCUACUAAUAGGAACAAGCUUUGUAAUAGCAAGUUCUUAUCUAGUCACUACAGUGAAAGGAUAAAGGAACAACCUGACAUUAGAAUCUUUGAGUUUCAAGGGCUUAUUAAAAAAGAAUUGGAUUUAUAUGUUGGAAGAACAGUGUGUAGGAGAGCAAGAAACAAAGUAUUACAGGAGUUAAUGGGUGACUAUGUUCUUGAGUUUGGGAGGAUUUUGGACUACAAAGAUGAGUUGCUAAGAACUAAUCCAGGUAGUACAUGUGUAGUCAAGCUUCAUGAAGAAACAUUUGAAAAAGGUAGAAAAAUGUUUCAAGGCUUCUACAUAUGUUUUGAUGCAAUGAAGAAGUCCUUCUUGGCUGGUUGUAGGAGGUGCAUUGGUUUGGAUGGUUGUUUUCUAAAGGGAGUAUCUAAAGGUCAAUUAUUGGUUGCUGUUUGUAAAGAUGGGAACAAUCAAAUGCUACCACUGGCUUGGGCAGUAGUUGAAGUUGAAAAUAAGUUUACUUGGGCUUGGUUUGUCAAACUUCUAAAGGAAGAUCUUCAGUUGGGAGAUGGUACAGACCUCACAAUCAUAUCAGAUAUGCAAAAGGUUAGAAUAUUUAUUGAUUUAUUUCAUGUCUUGAAUGCCAUUUAUUUAUGAAUGUCUUAGUUUCUUUAAUGUCUUAGUUUCUUAGUUUCAUGUCUUGAAUUUUCUUAUAGGGUCUUGAAAUUGCCAUAACUGAUCAUUUGCCAAAUGUUGAGCAUAGAAUGUGUGCUAGAUACAUCCUUGUUAACUGGUCAAAGAGAUGGAGAGGUCUUAAGAGAAAGAAAUGUUUCUGGAGGUGUGCAAGGUCUACUUUUGAGGCUGAGUUAAAAGAUAACAUUAGUUAUAUGAAAAGGUUGGGCAAUAAUAUAGUUGAUCACUUGUUGUAUUAUAAUCUUGAAAGAUGAAGCAAGCUUUACUUCAAUUUUACCUCAAAAUGUGAUGUUGUAGACAAUAACAUGGUUGAAUGUUUCAAUUCAUGGAUAUUAGCAGCAAGGCAUAAGACUAUAAUUACAAUGCUUGAAGAAAUUAGGGUGAAAAUGAUGAAAAGAAUAUGGCAAAUGAGAGAGUUUUGCAAUACUUGGAUCUGUGACAUUUCUCCAAUGGCAAUGAAGGUUCUACAAGAUAACACAACUAAGUCUAUGAAAUGCAGCAUUGAAUGGAAUUCAGAUACAAGGUAUGAGGUACUUCAUGGACCAUACAGACAUGUAGUAGAUAUUCAAAGGCAAAUAUGUAGUUGUAGAGCAUGGAUGUUGAAAGGCAUACCAUGUCCUUAUGCAAUAGCUGCUCUUCACCAUAGGAAAUUGGACCCAAUCAACUACAUUUCUCAUUGGUAUAACAGAGAAACAUACAGGAAGACAUACAACUACUUCAUUCAGCCAGUUAUGAAUCUGAAAAUGUGGUCAGAAUCACAAAACAUCUAUGUGAUACCACCUCCUAUUCGAAAGAUGCCAGGAAGGCCUGGCAAGAAAAGGAAGAAAGAGCAAGGUGAAACCAGUAAAUCUGGAAAAAUUAUCCAAAAGAGGAAUUGAGAUAUCAUGCAGCACUUGUCAUAACAAGGGUCACAAUAAAAGAAAGUGUCCUCUUGGUGCACCUGCUUGUGGCACAAGCUUUACUGCUGGACCAAGUUCAAGACCUGCUACUGGACCAAGUUCAAGACCUCAUUCUGGCCCUGCUGCACCAAGCUCAAGACCUCCUUCUGGCCCUACUGCUGCACCAACAUCAACACAAACUGUUGGCCCUGCUGCACUAACAUCAACACAAAUUGUUGGCCCAAGAGCAACACCUAAUGCUCCAACUGGAAGAUGAAGGGGUAGACCAAAGGGUUCAAUAGAAAAAGUGAUAUAGUUUCCUUUAUUUACUUCAUGUAUAAAUUUUAAAUAAGUUGCUUUACUGAAUAUUUUGUUAUUUUUUAGGGUAGUGUUGCUAGCAGAACAAGAAUGGUUGGAAUGGGUGNNNNNNNNNNNNNNNNNNNNNNNNNNNNNNNNNNNNNNNNNNNNNNNNNNNNNNNNNNNNNNNNNNNNNNNNNNNNNNNNNNNNNNNNNNNNNNNNNNNNNNNNNNNNNNNNNNNNNNNNNNNNNNNNNNNNNNNNNNNNNNNNNNNNNNNNNNNNNNNNNNNNNNNNNNNNNNNNNNNNNNNNNNNNNNNNNNNNNNNNNNNNNNNNNNNNNNNNNNNNNNNNNNNNNNNNNNNNNNNNNNNNNNNNNNNNNNNNNNNNNNNNNNNNNNNNNNNNNNNNNNNNNNNNNNNNNNNNNNNNNNNNNNNNNNNNNNNNNNNNNNNNNNNNNNNNNNNNNNNNNNNNNNNNNNNNNNNNNNNNNNNNNNNNNNNNNNNNNNNNNNNNNNNNNNNNNNNNNNNNNNNNNNNNNNNNNNNNNNNNNNNNNNNNNNNNNNNNNNNNNNNNNNNNNNNNNNNNNNNNNNNNNNNNNNNNNNNNNNNNNNNUAAUGAAUUGCAGUUGUGAUUGCAUUUUGAUUUGUGGUGUCUGAUUAUGUAACUGUUUUGACAGAUAUUAAUUUCUAUUUUGAUUAAUGAUUAUGCAGUUAUGAAUGUCUGUUUAUGUAACAAUAUUGCUUCUCUUUUAGUUGAUGGUUUCUGUGUUUAUGGAGGGCAAUUAGUGACUACUUUAGCAGUGGCUACACAAACGUAUAGUUUAGACAGUUGAGCAGAUAGUUGUACACACUAAAUGUAUAGUUUAUGAUCAAAUACAAAAUCAAAUACUUGCAACAAUAAAUGAGACAAAUUAAGAUAAGAGCUUUGUAAAUUCUUUUCAUUACACAAAAGCAUUACAAGUUCAACACAAUAUUGCAAAUUUUUGGUACAAAGAAGAGAUCAUGACAAUUUCCUUGAAUGUCCUUCUCCUUUCAGAAACAAUACUCUUUGAAAUACUAAACUUACACCUAAAAUACAAACACACAACAGAGCAAUCCAAAGUUGUUUCUCCCUUUUCUUGGACUUGGCCAAUUUGUUUUUCCAUUUCUUUUCAACUGCUUUCAUCUUCUUCAAAUCAUCAUCAAAAUUGUCCAUUUUUUACUCUUUCUUCUUCAUAUCUAUUUUGCUUUCCAUAGAUUUGGUCGACUUAGUAGGCUUGUUGAUUUCCUUAUCCGAAGUUUCAACUUUUCGAGAAGAUUCAACACUAUGUUCAAGCUCCGCAAUUCUUCCCAACAACUUGGGAAUCAUAAAUUUGGAUCUUGGAUCAAUAUAAUCAUCUUUCCCAAGCCAAAAAUAGCAUGAUCUAGCAUUCUUAAAAAACAAAAUGAAUCAUUCUAUGGAUCUUGAAACAACAAAACGAAUUACUCAACUCUUAAAAAAGAUUAACUUACCCCAUAGUAAGGACAACCCUAAUCUUCUACUAGGAUUUCUCGGGGUCCAAGAGGUCAGCAAACGCAAAACAAAUCCAUGUUUGCAUCGCACCUCUUCCAAUUCAUGAUCUUCCUCUUGUAAACAGAGCCGAGUCAAGCUUAUUCGAGCCGUUGUAGCACCUUAAUAAGAAUUACCGCGAAUCAAACUAAAAAUUCAAAAUACGAAAUAGAUAGAAACAAAUCAAAAUGAAAAAGAGAGAAAUGAAUCAAAAUGAAAAGGAGAUGAAUGAAUAAUAAUGAAAAAGAGUAACCUUUGAUUCAAAAGAAGGAAUUUUGAACUAUGUUUGAAUUUAGGGUUCUUGAUUCAGAUUUUUGGAUGAAAAUUUAGGGUUUUUGUUCAUUAGGGUCGGGUGGGUAGGUUAUAUGAAGAGAAUGGGAAUAUAACCGUUGGGUUGGGUUUUUUAAUUAAAAAAAUAAAUAAAAAUGACUUUAUUAGCGUGUUGACGCGCUCAACUAUGUGGAGCGAAACGCGCCCUGGGUUGAGUGACGGAAGGGGAAAAUAAAUAUACUUUUAUGUACUUAAGGUGUGUAAUAGGUCCCCCCCCCCCAUUAGUUAACGUGUGUAAAUGACUUUUGGAUACAAGUUUAGGGGGCAAUUUAUGCCUUUUGCCUUUUUAUAAUCAUACACGAAUUUUAUGUACAAAUUCUCAUAAUUGACUAUGGUCUAUGGCUUAGAUAUCUACCUCUAUAGUUUAAAUAAUUACAAGGAUUUUUGUAUCACUUAUAUUCAAUAUUUAUAUGGACAUUAGUGUAUCGAAAGAAAGAAGAUAGAUGACUGAGAAUUACGGAAAUUUAAAAAUAUUAUUUCUAGUCUAUCAGUUUUUUUAAAGAGAUGACAAAUACAAAGCGAUUACCAUUUGUAGGCUCAUUCACCAAUUAGGUUAGGCCAUGACUUUACACGAACAGAGACAGAGAUGGAAUUUCCCCUUCUUUCGGUCAUACCUACACAGAUUCUCUCGAUCCAGCUAAACUUACUUUGAUGUAAGAUGGGGUUGAAGUCUUAGGAUAAUUAAGCAGCUCCAUACACCAUUUGAAUAUCAACAAUUUUUGUCCUAAGGCAAGCUCCUGCAUCUCUAGGGUUUGUGCUAAGGCAAGCUCUUGCAUCUCUAGGGAUAGAUGCAUCUUUUCUUUUUGUGUCUUCUCCUUUCGCUCAAGCGCUUCCUCUUAUUGUUUGACUAAAGGAAAUAAAUAGAAUCGAUUGUAAUAAAUGAAGUGGAUUUAUUUCGUUUUCUUAUUUAUUUGCAUAAUUUCACUUGUAUUCUUUCUCUUUACUAUAUCAAUUGUUACCGUUCUGUAUCGCUUAAAUUUAUUCGCUCUAAUGGAUGUAUUAAUACAUAUUAAUUAUUAUCAUUUUGUAUCACUUAUAUUUAUUCGUUCUAAUGGAAGUAUUAAGAGAAAAUGGUCAAAUGACCCCCCAAUCUAUUAGUCGAUUCUCAACUACACACUUAUAUUUUAGGAGGGUCCUAUUAUCCCCCUGAACUAUUUUAUAGUAGAAUUAUUUGCUCUCUAAUGCUGAGUUGGCAAAGAAAGUGUAAUUCACCUUCUUAAAGAGAGUGAGAGGCAAACUUUCUUACUUUUCUUUUUAAUAUUAAUUUUCUAAUCUUUUAUAUUUUUCAUUUUACUUUACUUUUACUCUAUUUAUGUUUUUCAUUUUCUUUCUUUAUCUUUUUCAUUUUACUUUACUUUUACUCUAUUUAUGUUUUUCAUUUUCUUUCUUUAUCUUUUUCAUUUUACUUUCUCUCUUCUUUCUCUAUUUCUUCAGUACUCCACCAGAUCUAAGUUCCCUGAAGAAGAAAAAAACAGUAUGAAAUUAUCUCACUAUUAAUAAUUGUUACUAGUGACACUAUCUCCUUCUUCUUUUUCUCAAAAGAAAUUGACUUCACUAGCAAAAAUUAAAAAAACACAGGAUCAAAUUAAAAAUAAACACUUUCCCAUAGCCAAGUGUUCAUAAGUUCAAGCACAACAUGAAAUUGAACAAUAUAGAGAAAACUCAGUUGAGUAAAUAAAACUAACAAAGCAUCAAGGUCAAAAUUAGUAUCUUUUACAAUUAAUUUUUUACUACUUCAACUACAACAACACACAAAAUUGAAGAAAUCCAGAUCCGAAUCAGAUCCAAAAGUUCAAAUCUAUAAAUUCACUACGAAACAAGGCCGGAACCAAUUUGAGACUUUGGAAAACAUCAAAUAGUAAACCUUUAGCUAGGAGCCUCUUUUCCUUCUGCCCAGCUCCCCAAAAACAACGUUCAACUUGCAUGUGUUAAGCAUAUAGCUAGCGUUGAUUACUAUAUAAGUAUAUGAACAUCAAAUUCUUUAACAUGAACAACCCAAAUAAAAAUUUCUCCUUUUUAGAUUAUUGUAAGCCAAAUCAAUAUGCUCAAGACUUCGAUAGUUGGUAAACUUUUAAGGAUUUCACCAUUUAAAUUCAUAUUUCAUUCUUUUUUUUUUAAUCUUUUCAAACUCCAACAAUAUUCUCAUCAGAGAAAGUCAGAAAACCCAUUAAAUACCGAACCUAGAUAUUCAAGAUUGGCUAUGUUAUUGUGUUUUACCGAAAAAAUAAAGUUCAUAUGCAUAUAUAAGAUCUAUAGCUCCGUCAAAUUUUCGGUUGGCGACGGAUAUCUCUAAUAAAAUUGUUCCCCAAAAUCAAGAUAUUGAAGUUUUUGAAGCCGAUGAAUAUCCAAUGGUAUGAGACCCACAAAUUAAUUUUGAAAAAGGUCCAAAUAUUGCAUGUUGAAAUAGUUGUAUAAGAAAAUUGGGAACUUAGAUUAAGAAACUAAAUCUUUUGAGGUUACAGAUGGAACUUGGAGUUUCCACUUCAAUGGUAGAAAAUUUUUAGUCAAAGAAAAGGAUAGAAAAAGAAAAAAGAAAAGAAGAAAUCAGCUGAAAAAGAAAAGAAAAAACAUAGAAGGGAAAUAGAAUAAGGUAAAAAGAAUUAAAUUAUAUUUUUAUAUAAAAAAAAGUACCAUAUAUGUUACGUGGCACCACGCGUGCAACACACUGCUUACCAUAAAUCUGGGUGUGACCUUUUAAGGGGUAAUAUAUUCUACUUUUAAAAUGUUUAGGGGGGUAAUAGGACCCCCAUAAAAUAUAAGUGUGUAGUUGAAAAUUGACUAAUAGAUUGGGGGUUCAUUUGACCAUUUUUUCGAAGUAUUAAUAUAUACAAUCUUGAUGGAUACAAGCAUAAUUAUAAAUCAUGUGAAUUUACUUAAUUUCGUUGCAUCAGCGCAUACAGUCAUAUGAUAGGUUGUAUGCGUUCACUCAACAAACUAUAUUUUGUUUCUCAUAUAACGAAUUACAGUGAAUUUAAUCACUCUAAUGGUUGUACCACCAAAUACAAUUUUGGAUACAAUCAACAAUAGAUCAUAUGAAUUUACUUAAUUUUGUUGUAUAUAAUCAUAAUAGAUUGUAUACGUUCACUCAACAGAUUACAUUCACAAUGGAGUUGCAAACCAAAAAAGAAGAAGAAGACUUGUUGAAGAUAACAUACAAUAUACGUCAAUCAUCAUCAUAAUUUGGACAUUAUCAUGAGCCCACUCCCAACACCAUUGUAGCUUCAGCUUUAUUCCACCGUCCUCCACCACAAAUCAAUCCCGUCUUCUUUGGCGAGGACGAAGUUGUCUGUGCAAGGAGAGGGAGCAUGACCAAAUCUGAAAAUCGUUGGUCGUCUCUAGCGAUCCAUCGAGACAGACAAAUCAUUAAAAAUAAAACCAAGUCAAUUUACAAGAGGCAGAGAGUGGUACUGAGGUUAGCAGUUGUAGUGGCAAAAGAAGAGGGAAAGGAGGCAAAGAUGGUAAAGGAACAGGUUGUGCAUGUCUCAACUAAUUCAGUAGGCUAUGUUACUCGAACUCUUCAAAAAUAUCAAAGAGUGUUUGUCGUAUUCUCCAAAAACUAUUUUUGGAGAAUCCGACAUAAAUGCUGCACAGAAAGUGAAGAGUCUGUGCAACUUAGGUUACAUGUUGAAUAGUAUAUUCACCUCACAUCAGGCUAUGUUACUCGAACUCUUCAAAAUAUCAACGAGUGCUUGUCGUAUUCUCCAAAAACUAUUUUUGGAGAAUCCGACAUAAAUGCUGCACAGAAAGUGAAGAGUCUGUGCAACUUAGGUUACAUGUUGAAUAGUAUAUUCACCUCACAUCCUUCUCUAAUUUCUGGUAUAAGCCGGGGACAUACGGAGUCCACACAAUCGCCUCAACAAAGAAAAUGAACUAACAGGCGAGAUCAUGCCUCACAUAACCAAUAAAAAAACAAUUCUACUUGUAUUUCAUUCACCAAACCUUAAUUCAAUAGGCACUAGCAUCAAUGUGCUACUUUUACACAUAAACUUAACUCUCUAGAUCUCCAAAUACCAUUCACAUACAGCAAAAUUGUCCAGCCAGACACAUUAUUUUUUUUGUAAAACUUUUCUCAUUUCUCUUUACCUUUUAAUCUAAGCUCCAAGAACUAGUCCAUAGUCUUGUGCCCUAAAGACCAAAACUUAGAGCCCAAAUCUUUUUGUACAUCAGCAAAACAACGAUUUGGUGUACCAAACUGUUUGGAACUCGGACCAUUGACGCUAAUCAUUCCAAGCUGGGUAGAAUUUACCGCAUUGGCUGCUGGUUGUAAUGGCUCUUCUCUUUCUUCUUUGCUGCAGCAAGCCUGGCACUCCUUGCAGCAGCCUCUGUUGCGGCAGCUCUUGCAGCACCAUCUGUCUCUUUGCCGGAUUUCUUUUUCUUUGCCGAUGCCACCCUUUUCAGCCUCUCCUUCAUAUCCACCGUAGAUGCAUCUUCUACUUGCUCAGCUCCUCCAGUUUCCUCUAGUAGAACAGUUGCACCAACGCUGUUUGGCUGAUCCUCUGAUUCCUUCUCCUCUUUGGAUGCUUUAUCCUUCUUUUUCUUCUUCUUAGCACUUUUAGGCUCUAUAGCCCCACCAUUUUUCUUUUCCACAUCUUCUGCUGGCUGACCCUCUUUCUUCUCAUUGGCAACAUCUGUAAUUAUAAGAGAAACAUUUAGGAAAAUCCACCUUCAGAUACCCAUAGAAUGAAGCUAGCCAUCUUAACCACAUGAUGACCAACAAGUGCUGACAAAAGAAAAGAAAGUAGACAUGUUUAAAGAGUCUAUAAAAUGCAAAGGAAUAUGAUAUCAAUCCUAAGGAGGUAGGACAUCAAUUUCAUCACCCAACUUCGACCACUAUUUACUAAGGGAGGAGAUAGAAGGAUAACACUGUAAUCAGUAAAUGAGAAGAAGAAUUACCAGAUAAGUCGUCUGGACCUUUCUCCUUCUGUUCAACCCCAAAAUCAGCUAAAAGCGAGUCCAAUUCAGCAAGCUCCUUCUUCCUUCUCUCUUUCUUUGAUAGCUGUCUCUCAGUUUCUUUAGGAGCUGGUGAAGCUUCUAUCUUUUGGCCUACUGGAUCAGCAUGUUCUGGAACCUCAGAUUCGUGGUCAUUGUCCUCCACAUCUUCAUCUUCAUCAAGAAGGUCGUCUUCGCUUUCGGUUUCCUGCAAGUCCAAUUACAACUUCAGUAUAUGCACAAUACUAACUCAAAAAAAGGUUCAAUUUUUUAUGGCUACCAAAUAUAGAUUGUGUGUUAUCUCUCCUUCAUUUUCUUCUCUUCAAACUUUAUAUCUCCUUAUAAAAGAAGAUUUAUCCUUCCAAUUAGGAGAACAAAUAGACGCAGAAACAGACAUGAGAGUGAGUCAACAACAACAUACCCAGUAAAAUCCCACAGUGGGGUCUGGGAAGGUUGGAAUGUACGCAGACCUUACCUCUAUGUUGUUUCCGAAAGACCAUCGGCACAAGUGCAACAAAUCAAAGUAUUCACGAAAAAAGGAAAUCCCAGAAUGAAGAACGACAUGUCAAAUAACAAGGAAAGCAGUACAGAGCAUCCAAGGAAAAGAAAAAAUAACAGCAACAAAUAAUAUUGUUAGUAAAAGAAAUUACAUGCACAAGGCUAAUACUACGACAGACACAGCACUCCCACGAAGCCUAAACCCACCGUAAAGCAAGUCAUAGCACAACUACCUACUAACCUUAUAUCCUAAUCUGUUACCUCCAUACCCUCAUAUCUAAGGACAUGUCCACGAUAAGUUGAAGCUGCAUCAUAUACGGUGUAAUCACCUCACUUUUUGACUUACUUCUACCUCUCUUCAUACUCAAUAUAUCCCCAACCUCCCACACCUCCUUAUUGGAGCAUCUUCGCAUAUCUUCUUCACAUGUCCAAACCAUCUAUCUCGUCUCCCUCAUCUUGUCUACCACAUAAAUCAUCCCCACUCUAUCCUAAAUAUUAUCAUUCUUAAUGUUAUAUCUCUUAGUAUAACUACACAUCCAUCUCAACAUCCUCAUUUCCGCAGCUUGCAUUUUCUAAACAUGUGAGUUGUCGACUGGCUAAAACUUAGCUCCAUAUAACAAAGUUGGUUUAAUCAUCACUCUAUAGAACUUACCCUUAAGAUUUGGUGGAAUUUUUUUAUCACAUGACUCGGGGAUGAGCCUCUAUUUCAUCCAUCGCGCACCAAUAUAAUGUGUGGCAUCAUCAUCAUCUCCCAAUUUCCUUGGAUUAAAGACCCAAGAUACUUGAAACUUGCUUUCUUGGGGAUGGCCUAUGAAUAAAAACUUACUUCUACACCUACCUCACCAAAUGCAUCACUGAACUUGCACUAAGUAUUUUGUUUUGGUCCUACUCAACCUGAACCCUAUAGACUUCAUGGUUUGUCUCCAAACCUUUAACGUAGCAUUAACUCCACCGUAAAUCUUAUCAAUCAGUACUAUAUCAUCUGCAAAUAACAGACCAUGGCACCUCACCUUGGAUAUGGUGCAUCAAUUCAUCAUCACCAAGGCAAAAUAACAUGGUCAAGUGUUAAUUCCUAGUGCAACCCCAUCUUGACCGAGAAGUGUUUUGUGUCUCCUCCCACUAUGCUUACUUGGGUCUUGGCUCCAUCAUGUCUUUCCUCACCCUGAUGUAAGCUUCUAGCAUACCUCUAGCCUGAAGACAUCCCCAUAGGACCUCUCUUGGGACUGUCGUGAGUCUACUCUACAUCACUAAACACCAUAUGCAGGUCUUUCUUCCCCUCCCUUUACUUCUCCACUGGUCUCUCCUCACAAGAUGGAUAGCUUCUAUAGUAGAAAAAGAAUGUAAAACAUGCAUGGAAUAAACUAUUAACUGGUGAAACUCCUAGCAUCCAAAACAAAAAGGAAAAGCCUAGCUACACUUGCAGCCACAUGCCCCAUUUUCCAAUUUCAACAGGAGAAUACUUUUAGAACCAAAAAUCACACAAGGAUUUAAGUAAUAACAUAACACAAUGGAAACAAUCAUCCUAUCUGUCGUAUUAACUAUUGGAACUUGGAAUUCACACUUAACAAUUAUUGUUUCACUUACAUUAGUCUAGCCGUCGCCAAGAGUUCUCUUAGCUAGGUUAGAAACCUGUUUGUUAGGGACUACAAGAAAUCGCAGAUGUUCUGAUGGUAGAAAAAAAUCUACUGCAAAAUAACCAUGAAGACCGUGGAUUCAAUUUCAAGUAAUUUUAAAAAAAUAAAAUUGGAACAUUGAUAAAAAGAAGUAGUUGUGAAUUAAAAAUUUAAUUAUAGAAUUUUAAAUUAUAGAUAUGCAGUUGAAACAACUGCUCCAUGUACAAUGAAGUCUUUUUGAAUCAUGUUAGCUAAUGUUGAUUUCAUUCCAUCAUUUUCAGGCAACUUAAAAUGAAAUUUUAGCCCCCAAGGCCUAGCUCAAGUGGCAAAAGGUGGAGGAUUUGUGGCUUAGGUCACAGGUUCAAGCCCCACACCAUGCAAAGCAAAGCCCGGUAUUUAAGUGGAGAAGCGUAGAGGGGCGGGCCCAUUAUCCACCGAGUUUAGAAGGCUGUGAUUGGUCCAAAGGGCGGGUCACAGAUGGAUUUCUCGGUUAUCAAAAAAAAAAUGAAAUUUUAUUUGUUAAAUAAUUUUAUAUAUAUUGGGAUUUGAUAAAUCUUUUAUCUCUUAGAGAUUUAAUCAAUUAAAAAAUAUCCAUACACACACAAUGGAGUCCUAGGUCCCAAAGUGGAUGUCAUUCCUUCUUUAUAGGGCAGCUUAAAGGGCAUUUAAAUAUGUCACAUAACUGAACUCUGUCCCAGUAAUGAUGCUAUUAUUGUGGCCUCGACAAGAAGAAAUGACAAAGCACUUUAAUCUCAAUGACGGCGGUAGUAGAGCUGUUGCUGAUUUAAGUGCUAUCACUGUGUCUCUACACCGUGACGAUGGUCAUGCAGAUGACAUGGUACUGAGAUUCAUUUUUAUCUUAUUUAAUUUCUCUAGAAGAUUUCUUAAAUCAGUGUGCACUACUGACUUUUAGGAUUUCUCACAGCAAAGGUUAUAGUACUCUAUAUUAAGCCUUUUGUAGUUUAUUUGAAGCGAAAUGUCUACAUAGUUAUGAUGAAUUGAGAGAAAAAAUAGACUUUAAAAUUGAUUAUGCACUAACCCCAAUGCCAUGAUGGGAAAAAGUAGAGCAAUAUAUAUUAGCACUGAAAUGGAAAGCUGGAAUGGUGGCUAAUCAAGGUAUAUCACAAGUACAUGGAUGCAAGAAUAAAAGCUUGAACAAAGGUUGUUGUCUGUUUGACAGGUUAUGUGGCUCAAUCUUUUAAAGUUUGGUUCCUUUUGUUCCAUAGAGGGUAGAAAAUUUUACAGACGAAAAGAAGUCCUUUGCAAAUAUUAUGAGAAAUGGAUGAAACUUGAGAGAAUAUGAAAUCAGGAACUGGCUAAAUACUCCUCAACUAGCUUAGUACGGUCGUUCAUGACUCAUAAUCACUUUUCAAUUUAUAAGAUCAUGUUGUACUAUUACUAUAAUAUUAUGACACAUCACACAAGUAAGCUAUAACCUGUUAUUGUCCUUCUAUUUAAUUGAGUGUUAGUAAAUAAGAUUUUGGAACAUAAUGAGUCCUCUCAUAUCUGAAAAAACAGUUUUUAGUCUUGUCAUAAUCAAACUUCCGUUUAUUGUGAUUAUGUGUAGUCUUAGUUUUAAGGCUGACAGAAUUUAAAAUCAAAUUCUUUUGCACAAGGUAGUUUUUAUAUUGAAUGAUCUUUAGCAAUGUGGUCAAGUAAUACAAUAACAGGGAUGGUCUAAUGGCUUCACCAAAAGUUUAUCUUCUUUAGCAUUAAUUGUAAGAAAAUAUACCCCCCACAAUUUUGGCAUAAUUGACGGAAGUACCAUCAUAUUUUCUUGCAUAUUAGUUAUUUUUAAGACCAGAACAUAUAGAUAUAUCUAAUGGGGUAUAUAAGAUAGAAGUUGAAAUUAUUGAAUCACCUAUGAAUGAAAAUUUCUGUUGAAUACUUCUAUUGAGCAAGGGUUACCUACUUAGUACUCUGUGAGUCUACAUUAAGCGGCCCUUUUAUUAAGCCAAAAUAUUUGUGUACGUAGUGAUGAUAAAUUUAGAGAAAAAAUAGGCUUUAAAAUUGGUUAUGCACUCCUAAUGACGGGAUGGGCAAGAGCCAAGAGUAGAGCAAUAUCUAUUAACAUUGAAAUUGGAUACUAGAUUGGUGGCAAUUCAUGUAGAUCAAACAAUGUGGACAUAAUAAUAAAAGCUAGAAGAGAUUAUCGCCAGCUUGAUUAUGGCUCAAUGAAUAUGAGAAAUGGACAAUUUGAGUUAUUUCAUUCUUAGAAAAGGAAGAAGGCACCAUAAUAUAUGUACAAUAGUUUAAAAAGGACAAAUGAUAGAACUAUAAAAAUGCUCUCAAGCACGGCUAUCAAGGCAAGUCAACUUAAAACCUAAAGUCGAUUUCACUCUGUCUGGGGCCUACUCCGGCAACUUAUGACCGAAACUUUUUCAAUUGGGGGAAAAGUAUAUUCUACAAUUCAGGAUUCAAAUCUUACGAAAUCAUUAGGUGUAAAUACGGUGCGGAGAAACCUAGUAUGAAUGGAUCAAGUGAAGUCGGAAUUUAAUGAAGGUGAAGAUUAGCAUUAAAGUCUUGAAGUGCUUAGUUUCUGUUAAAAUUAGGAAUAGAUUUAUACAAUCCUAUUAGAAUAGGAAUAGUAAUAGAAAUAGGAAUACUAAAUAGUAUCCUAUUUGGUAAAGGAUUGUAUUCUAGGGUCUAUAAAUAGGAUCUCAAUGUAAUAAUGUACACAACAACAAUUUAAUAAUAUUCUUUUCUUAUAUUUCUCACAUGGUAUCAGAGCCUCUACGAUCUUGGUAAACAAUCAAAGAGCUUCCGCUGCCGGCGGGCGGCUAUUAUCCAUAUAUGUUGCCCGUUCGGCCAACGAUUAUGUUAGCAAAAGUUGGGUCACCGUGUAUUUUUCUAGUGACUAUUUUCUCAUAUCUAAUUUGUGUAGCACCGUGCCAUCAUUCCAGUGACUACUUUCUUAUAUCUAAUUUGUGUAGCACUGUGCCAUCAUUCCGGUGACUAAUUUAUCAUAUUUAAUUUGUGUAGCACCGUGCCAUCAUUCCGGUGACUACUUUUUCAUAUUUAAUUUGUGUAGCACCGUGCGAUCUUUUUGGUGACUACUUUUUCAUAUCUGGUUUGCGUAGCACCGCGCCAUCUUUUUGGUGACUACUUUUCAUAUUUAAUUUGCAUAGCACCUUAUUAUCCUUCCGGUGACUACCUUUUUUUGCAUAUCUUAUUUGCGUAGCACCGUGCAUCUCUCCGGACUACUUUUCAUAUUUAAUUUGUGUAGUACCGUGGAUUUUUCCGAACUACUUUCUCAUAUCUGAGUUGCAUAGCAUCAUGUGUCUUUUCAGUGACUCCUCAGAUUUGAUUUGCGUAGUUCCAUUCGUCUUUCCGGUGACUCCUACCGAUAUAGUUUUUUCUUUUUCACUAGGGUCGUGCCAUCAUUCCGAUCCUACCCAUAUUAUUUCUUUUUCAAUGGAGUCGUUCCAUCAAUUCGAACUAUCCUAUAUAAUUUCUAUUUUCUUGUUGGGUCGUUGACAUCAUUCCGACCCUACACAUAUAAUUUUAUUUCUUAGAUUGUGACCACUUUUAGCCAUCAAAUCUAAUACUCCGGCAUAUGAGCAUGUUCCGGCCAGUUUUUGAUAUCGACUCGUCUAUUGAUUCGAACAUGAUCCAUAUAAUUUAUACUAGAUUUUGAGCACUUACAACGACCACUACAUUGUGAAGAAGUCUAUAUGGAGCAACCACCUAAUUUUGUUGCUCAGGAGGAGUUUAGUAGCCUUGUAUGUUGAUUACGUAAGUCACUCUAUGGUCUGAAACAAUCUUUGCAAGUUUGGUUUGGGAAGUUCCAACACUGUAAUUUUAUCACUCUGUGUUUUAUCAGCAUUAUGCAUCAAAUUCAAUAUUUCAUGAGAAGACCAAGCACAUUGAGAUUGAUUGUCAAUUUUGUGAAGCCGAGUGAUCAACUUGCAGAUAUCUCACCAAGCUCCUCAUCAAUCCUUGUGUUAAUUACAUUUGUAACAAGCUAGGUACAUGAAUUGUAUGCACUAGCUUGAGGGGGAGUGUUAGAAUAGGAAUAGAUUUAUACAAUCCUAUUAGAAUAGGAAUAUGUUUAUACAAUCCUAUUAGAAUAACAAUAGGUUUAUACAAUCCUAUUAGAAUAGGAAUAGUAAUAGAAAUAGAAAUAGGAAUACUAAAUAGUAUCCUACUUGGUAAAGGAUUGUAUUCUAGGGUCUAUAAAUAGGAUCUCAAUGUAAUAAUGUACACAACAACAAUUUAAUAAUAUUCUUUUCUUAUAUUUCUCACAGUUUCAGUAUUUAUUGAAGCAUUAAAGUAACAGGGAAAAGUAGUUUGGAAAUGGAAAUUAAAGGAUCACUUCUCAGAAUGUUGUUGCACUCUUAAAUACCACGAGAAUGGUAGAUAUGUCAGCUUUAUUUCCAUUCGAAAUCUGAGCAAAUCUGUCAUUAUUACUCCGGAAUCUUCAUACAAUGGAGGUUGGGGGAACAUUGCACAGAAAAUAGCAAAGUUUAUCCACGAGGCACCAGGAAAACAAAAAGCACAGAAAAACAGUGAAAGACAACUUGGAACCUUUUUCAAAGAAGCCUUCAACAACAACAGAUGAACGACGGAGAGGACAAAGCAGGCACAAAUACAAGUUGUAGGUGAUAGCAUAUAAAUCCUGGGUGGAAGGUCGGCAUCGGAGAGGAUCUGCUCAAUAGAUGUAUUGUCGGAAAAUUUAAGAACCCAUUACAGGAGACUCCAAUCUUGAAUGUUGUAAGGAGAUGGGUACGCAAUACCUAGAAGUCAGCAGCCACAGGUGUUAGUGUUUUCGCUAUGAACGAAGGACAGUUCUUGUUUGAACUUCCUUCAAGAUUUUCGAUAGAGCACGUGAUGUUGACAGUGUGGAUCUAGAAGAAGAUGAAGCUUAAUAUCGACUGGUGGAAGUCAACUACGAAAAGUGUUGGCCAGCAGAAGUAAGGAGAGGAGAGACUGGGUCUGGAUAAGACUUCUGGGGCUACCUUUGAGCAUGUGGUACCAGAAAAUAUUUAAGCAGCUUGGAGAUCAGUGUGGAGGAUUUAAUGAGACAGAAGAGGAGACAUCUCUCAAAAACAACCUAUACUAGAUUCAUAUCAAGGUGAAGGGCAACAGAAAGAUGGUACCGAAGUCGAUAGAGGUGACCAGUGAAGGUUUUGUGAAUAUUAUUCCGAUCUGGUGUGAAGCUCUGCUGCCAAUGAAAAUAGAGGGGGAAAGUGAAGGUGCAGGUUAUGGUUCAGAGGGUAAUGAAGGGAGAACCCUUUUUAGUGAAGGAUCUAACAGUCCUCAAAUCAAACCACGUGCACGUGGGCACCUCGAAAAUGAGGAGUUUUCAAAUUGGAAGGCACGUGAGCAGAAUUCAAAAUGGAAAGGGCGACUAUGUGUUGUAGUGGGCCAAGUCCUUAAAGGGGGUUAAUUUGGGCCUUAGAACCUUGGAAGUAAAAGAGAAGACAGAAAGUUAUUCUAAUUCUGAAGCCCAGGAGAUGGACAUAGUAAACAUCGAGAUAAUUGCAAACUUAUCAACCCAGUACACACAAUAAGCUUUGAGAAAUUGGGAACUCAGGAUAAGGAAGAACAACAAAUUUUCCAGUUCGAACAAACCAAGGAGAGCUUGGUGGCUGUAGAGUCAACAGUUGUCGAGAGAGGGGAACUGAAGAGUAUACAAUUGAAGCUGCAAGGAGAGAACACCAACAUUGUAGCAGAAGAUGCAACUCCAUUGAAGAUUCAAUUACCAACAGAACAAAAUGCUUAAACACUAAGCACGCUUAUUUGGAUUCAACUAGACAUCAUCGUGUUGAUACCAAAUUUGGAGUUGAUUUCAAAGCGUACGAGGAGAAGCCAAAAGGCAAAAGAACUUCUUAUGAAGAUAGAUAAUAACAAGCAAAAAAAUAAAGAACAACAAGGGAGCAGUCAGUUAUUAAAAAGAAAGAGGUAAAUGAACUGAAAGGUUUAGAGCUGGAUACUAAUUUCAUGAGUUAUGGUACUAGAAGUAGGGAGGAAACUUGGCCAUAAAAGAAUAAUGAAGUUAUACAAAGUCUUGGAGCACAAGGCAACUGAAUUGUGCUAGGAAAAAGGGAAUGAUCAAAAAUAUAUUACAUACCUGGUAAGCUGAUGAGGUUUGCUUCCAGGUGGUGAAGGUGGAGGGGGAAAUCACAGAUAUAAGUGAGUCAAUUAUGUUCAGUUGGAGGAAAGUGGGACUAGAGGAGGUACAGUCAGUAUGUGGGACAAAAGCGUACGGGAAGGAGUGCUCAGCAGUGUGGAAAUAUAUUCAGUGACUUGUAGUUUUUCUGGGAAGUGUCAUGAUUUCAAUUGGCACCUUACAGGGGUUUAUUCCCCAAAUAAUAGAAAGGAGAGUAAAGAGACUUGUUGGGAGAUUGGGGCAGCUAGAGGCUAGUUUCAGGACCUUGUGAUUGUGUAAUCUGCUAAGGCUUCCAACACAGACAGACAUGAUCCAGAAAAGAAAAAUUGCAACAGAAUUAGUAAAGGAAUGAUAAACUUGUCUGAUUUUAUUGAGGAUAUGGAGCCAGUGGAUUUAGCAUUGUUAGGGGGAGUAGUUCACUUGGAAGAAAGGUGACAGACGCACAACAGCUAGACUAGAUAGAUUCUUAUUUUCAGAAGAAUGGGAUACAAACUUAGGAACAUCAGACAGAAUAUCCUACACAGAGUGACUUUUGACCACUCACCUAUAAUGUUAAUUGGAUAGUAGAAAGUCAUACUUCAAGUUUGAAAAUUGACGGUUGGAAACAGAGGGUUUCAAUGAAAGAGCGCAAGUGUGGUGGGACUCUUUCACCUUUAGUGGAAAGGCAGACUACAUUCUGGUGGCGAAACUAAGAGCUCUACAAGGGAAAUAGAAGGAGUGGAGUAAGACUUCUCAAGGUAACUUGGGUAUUCAGAAGCACAAUGUUUUGAGACAGCUAACUCAACUAGAGGAGAUUCAGGAACACAGAGCACUAAAGGAAGAAGAGAUAGCUUCUAUACUAGCACUCAAUAUGGAAUUUGGAGACAUAGCUAAAAGGGAAGAGACUAUAUGGAGAAAGAAAUCCAUGACAAAAUGGUUAAAGCAAGGGGAUAGAAACACUAGGUUUUUCACAGAACUGCAAAAACUCACAAAAGAAUUAACACAAUUGACAAGCUAAAAGUUAGAGGGAAAAUUUUGACUAAACCAGAAGAGGUGCAAGAGGAGAUUGUUGCCUACUAUGAGAAGUUAUACUCUAAGUGAGAAGAUUAAAGACCACAGCUAGAUAUGAGGAAUUGCCCCAUGAUAGGAGAAGAUGAAAACAAUUUGAUGAUGGCACCAUUUGAACAACAAGAGAUCCUCGAGAACAUAAAAGCAUGUGCAGGUGACAAAACACCAGGGCUAGAUGGGUUCUCCCUGGCAUCCUUUAGUCAUUGAUAGGGAAUUAUCAGUCUAGAGUUGGUUGCAACAGUGCAAAACUUACAUAAGGUAGGAAUUUUUUAAAGGAGACUCAAUGCCACCUUUGUGGCUCUAAUUCCUAAGAAGAUAGGAGCUUUGGAGUUCAAGACUUCAGACCUAGAAUAUGAUAGGAGGGGUUUACAAGAUCAUUGCCAAGCUACUGGCAGAAAAAUUGAAAAAAAGGCAUACACCGACUAGUGGACAAACAGCAGACGACAUUUAUAAAAGGCAGAUAAAUCAUGGAUGCACUGCUGAUAGAAAAUGAGUGUGUGGCUGGAGUCCAGGCAAAGAAGUUAGUAGCCUGCUAUUUUACGUAAGCUAGACAAACAGAAGGCAUAUGAUCACCUGAAUUGGAAUUUUCUGAUUCCCAUGAUGCAGAGGAUGGGAUUUGGAGCUACAUGGAUCAAUUGGGUAAAAUAUUGCAUUAGUACAGUUAAUUCUCUUAUUAUUAAUUAAGAGAACCCCAAGUAGUUUCUUUUCCUGCCAGAGGAGCUUGAGACACGGUGACCCUCCAUCCUAUUUUCUCUUUAUCCUAGCAAGGGAAGGAACGACCAACAUUAUUCAAACAAAACCAAGGAAGAAAGGUUGGGUCAGAGGAUUUCAGGUGGGCAACAGGGCAGCGAACAAUGUGGAGAUAACUCAUCUGUAAUAUGCAGAUGAUACUUUAGUUUUUUGUGAAGAAGUGAGAGGACACAUGUUGAUCAUGAGGGUAAUAUUCAUCAUAUUUGAAGCAAUUUCUGGGCUACACAUCAAUUGGGGGAAGAGCUUGAUAUAUCCCAUCAAUUAUAUGUAGCGGAGGUGGAGAACUGGCAACAAUUCUGGGAGGCAAAAUGGGUGAGCUUCCAACAAUAUCUUUAGAAAUGCUUUUGGGUGCCAAAAGUAAAUCUAGGAGAAGUUGGAAUGGAGUGGUAAAAAAGCAUGAGAAGAAGUUAACUAACUGGAAAAGUCAAUAUCUUUCCUUGGGAGGAAGAUUGACUUAGGUUAAUAAUGUUUUACAUGCAUUACCUUCUAGCAUGAUGUCUGUUUUCCCAGCCUCAGACAGUGUGAUAGAAGAGGAUAGAUGCAUUAAGAAGGAAUUCUUCUGACAGGAAAUGAAGAUAAGAAAAAAAGAUAAGAAAAAGUUUCAUUUGGUUAGUAUUUAAGUGGAGAAGGGUAGAGGGCGGGCCCAUUAUCCACGGAGUUUAGAAGCCUGUGAUUGGUCCAAAGGGCGGGUCACAGACGGAUUUCUCGGUUAUCAAAAAAAAGUUUCAUUUGGUUAAACGGAGGGAGCUAACAAGAAGAAAAAAAGGUGUGGGUAUUAGAGACAUGAAAAUGCACAACAAAAACAUAAUGAUGAAAUGACUACGGAAGUAACAAUUGACAAUAUGCUAUGGGAGGAGGUUAUUAAUGAAAAAUAUGAAAUGGAGGGUAAAUGGAUAAUAAUGAUGGUGGUUACCCCCUAUGGAUGUAGCAUUUGGAGAUCCAUCAGGAACCUUUGGCCACUAGUUUUAACUAGAACCAACUUCAAAGUGGGAAAUGGCAUGGAAGUGUCCUUCUAGGAGGACAAAUGGACUAGACAGGAACCUCUAAAAUAACUCUAUCCAGACAUCCAUACUUAUGCCUUGACCAGCAGGCCACUGUGGCUGACAUGUGCACAAGACAUGGGUGGAAUCUGCCGAAGGCAUCUGAAUGAUUGGAAAAUGGAGAAGAUAGCAGCUUUCAACAACACAGCUGCCCAUUUGAGUAAUUUAACUGGGGCAGAUGGCACAAUAGUUUAGAAGAUAGACAACAAGGGAAUCUUCACUAUCAACUCUGCAUCUAGAGAUCUUUUUUCUUUUAACUUGGUAAGGUUGUAUUAUAUCACAAAACAGUACAUGGGUGAUCUAAUGCUUCAACAAUCAGGAGAAGAGAUGGCCAUGAAAAAUGAUAUGGAAGGUAAAGAUACCAUACAAGGUGAACUGUUUUUCUGAGUUGUUGGCAAAGGAAGCAGCGUUGACACACGAAGAUAUGAAAGAAAAAAAAAAAGAGGUCUCCAGCUUUGUCCUGGAUGCUAUUUAUGUGGGGAACAAGCAGAGUCAACCAUCUUUUUUACAUUGCAUGUGGACAGACCAAUUUAUGUGGGGACCAAGCAGAGUCAACCAUCUUUUUUACAUGGCAUGUGGACAGACCAGCUUUGGAGGACCUUCAUCAGCUUAAGAAAGACCAAAUGGGUAAAGCCAAUGAAUGUAGAAGGUAUCUAAAAUACUGGAACAGUGUGGGCAAUGCAACAGAAAAGAAAGAGAGAUGGAAGAUUGUCCCAGUUAUGGUGGACACUGUGGAAAGAAAGAAAUCAGAGUUACAUUCAAUCUUUUUAAUCUGUAAUCUACCUAACAUGGAUUUCCUUGUAUAAUGUCACUCCACUCGAAAGAAGAAAAAGUGUUAAACUCCAUUGCUGUUCAGAUGGACAACAGAGUUUAUUUCAGAUCUGGGGGGAAGUCUUACGACAUCACGGAGUCUAGAUCAAAAGCCGAAGUAUGGUAUGACUGGGUUGAAGAUGCUAGGCAUCACAUGAGGAGAAUGGGGGUGGCAAAAAUUGUCCAUCUCUCUAUGGCGACAUUUGAGCAAUCUCAUUUUCCACCAUAUUCUCACUAAUUAAUGGUAACUCUCAAAUCUUAGUUUCUUAAUCAUAAAAGUAUAGAACUUUGAAAUUUUACAGAGAUAUAUCACAACAUCAAUAUUGGCUGACUUUGAAUUACAACACAGUAAAAAUAUAUGGCAGGCAAAAAAAAUUCUGAAUACAUCUGUGGUAGCCUAGUAAGAGGGUGGCUAAAGUAGAAUGUGAAUGUUGUAGGGAUUAUAACUUUCAGAGGCUUAAAAUCUAAAAGUUAUUUGAAUCAACUUAUCUCAAUAUCACUUAAUUAGCAAAGUGAUGAUUGUUCUUAGAUUGAUUCCUCCAAAUCAUAUAUGCCCAUCAUGUUUCUGAAAUGAUCUUUUACGGAUAGAAUGAAUUCGAAAAGGAAGCCAACUGAAAAUAUUUUGAGUAAUUUAACAUACAUUCCUCCAAGUUUGCCAUUGUCAAAAUAGAUUAGUUCAAGAGAAAGAUCGUUUUUUUUAACUUGAAUUAAGAGUUUGAAAGAUAAACAUUACUCUCCAAUAUUAACUGAUUUAAAAGAUAUAACUUUUGAUAAAAUCCAAGUUGCAGAAAUAUUACAUAUCUAAUGAUGGCUACUUCCAAAAGAAACGUGUGUACUAUAAAAAAUAUUUAUGAUUUCGUACAGAUGACAAAAAGAGAUGGGUUUACGAUUUAAUGAUGACAUAAAUAAAUGACAAAUGAAGUUAGAAACAUGUAAAAGAAUUAUUAUUAUUUUUCAAUUUGAUUUGAGAAAUUAGCGGAAAAAUAGUUAAUUAAAAUAUAUUCUUCUCUAUAUAGAAUCAUUGUUUCUUUUUAGGUUAUUUUACCACACAAUGUAUGAUUAUGAUAUUUGAUUUCUUUCAAAAAUUAUUCAAUGACUAUGUGAUUCAUUUCCUUAGUUUGAUAAAGUUUCUUUUGUUAUAUAUAUUGCACCGAAAACCAUAAUAAUAACCGUGGUGUCCAAGUCAACUUUCACGCAACUCGAAUAAUUCCACGGGAUAUCUGUCACCAUCCACCAACAACAGAUUUCCAGCAACAACAGAAAUGGGAAGAAUCACCUAGUGUUUUUGCCACUAACUUACUCGGAAAGCAAACUACUUCCUAAUGGAAUUCUUCAGGUCCUAAAACAGCAGGCCCCAACCAAUUCGAGGUUGAAACACAGUAGAGUGAUUAACACUAUCUUUGUUAGUUUAGUUGGCUUCUUCAACCACUUUUCAGAUGCAUCGUUCGUUCAAUUUUUCAAGGAAAUAAAUUUUCGAUUAUCAAAAAGGUGAAAAAUACAAUCUAACACACAUAAAAAGCAGAAAUUUUUCAUACCCAAAGAACAGAACAUAAAAAGCAGGCAAAAGUGCAAUACCUCAACAGGUUCAGGUUUUUUUUCAGAUUCAUUGGAACCCACAAAAGACUGAAGAGGAGCAGUGGUUGCAUAGUAAUCGUCAUCAUCUUCAUCAUCAACAUCUGCCCAAGAUUUCACCGUCAACGGCGCCGGAGCCCACAAAACUUCCGGCUCCUGUUCCUUCUUCGACGACCCUUUACUCUUCUCCUUAUCAGAUUUCUUCUUCUUCCUCAGAGUAUCAAGCGCCGCAAAUACAUUGGAAUUCUUCACCAUCACAGACCCUUCUUUACUCCCCAUCAUUUCAACCAAGUAAACCCAAUAUUUCUUCUUCAAUUUAGGGUUUGGAGAAGUUGUUGGAUCAGCAGAUAACAGAGACUGAGAAAGAAGAAUGGAGGUUUUAUAUAUAUAUCAAUAUAUUUUAUAAUUUUUAUCAAAGAGACACCAAUUUUAUGUAUAAUUGCGCAAUUAUGCAACAUGCUUUCUUAAUUACCAAAAAAAAAAAUGUAGCAUAACCUUUCCACAAACUAUACAAUUUAUGCGGAUUCAGAAUUUGAAUUAGUUCAUUAUCAAAAAUUUAUAAUUAUUCAAUUUAGCGGAUUCAGAAUUUGAAUUACUUCAUUAUCAAAAAAUUAUAAUUAUUUAGUAGAUUCGUUAGAAAAGUAUGAGUAAAAAUGAAUGAACUUUAUAUAUUUGUAAAUUAAAAAAAAAAUUGUCACUCUGAACAAAGUGUAAUAUCUUCUAUGUAUUUGGUUUCAAAAAUGGGCGUAGAACUCAACUCACAUGGUUCUUUAAAUACAAUAUUUUUCUUUUUUGAAUUAUGCAUGUGUGCUAAAAAUAACUUCAUUCAAUAAAUAUUGAUGAUUAAUUUCGAAUCAAAAAUAUCAAAUGAGUUAUAAUUAAAUUCGGAAUUAAAAUUUAUAAAGUUCAAAUUACGAAAAUCACCUAUGUUUUUUUGUCUAAGUUAUCAUACAAAAGAUUAUUUGCACUUCCUACCUGACUAAUGAUGUCUUAUAUGUUUGUCUUCACAUAUAGCAAACAUAAAACUUAUAUUUGUAUGUUAUAGUUAUAGUUUACAUAAUUGCGCUCCAUAACAAAUUUUAUGUUUGCUAUGGAGCUUUUGAUUUGUAUAAUUCGCUAGAUACAUUCAAUUUUAUACAAAUAGUUCAAUUUUGUAUAAAUUCAUUUAUACAUUGUAAUUUGUAUAAUAAGAUCUGUAUUUGUAUAAUUAUAAGUGUAUAGGACGAAAAUAUAUGUAUUUGUAUUUGUAUAUACACUUUUUUCUCGCUUUAUACAAACACAAACACAUUUUAUACCGAAAUAUAUAAAAUGACUAAUUGUAUACCGAAUCAUAUGGCAAAAAAAAUGGGAUGUUUACUACGAAUUACAAAUAAAAUAAACUAUGGCUAUAACAUUUAAUUUGAAUUAAUAGUUUGUUAUUUCAUACAAUUAUCCCAUUAAAUUAUGAGAACCUUUCUAAAUAGGAAAACAUUAUAAGAAUCAAAAUAAGUGAACAUUUUGAAGACUAUUUAGUGAUUUAUUUUGAAAUUUACAAAUUUUAUAGAUUUGGCUUACCAUAUAAAAACUUGAGUUUAAUACUAUUUUGUUUGUUACUUUUUAAUAUCCGUUUAUGAUCGUUACUAGUAGUUAUUUAUUUCUCUUUCUUGUCGUUUUCGAUGCGGUCAUUGUCCGUUGUCCCUCAAUUAACAUCUAAAAUUCAGAAUCUACCCCUUUUAGAUUCUCCAAUCUCUUCAAGUUUCCAAGCAGGUAGGUCUUCGUAUGUUACCAUUCUAUUGUACCCUCCAAAUUCAGCUAAUUGAAGUAGACAAAUUCUGAUAGUAGCUAGAAGAGUCGUUUAUAAUGAGAUGUCGGCUAUGAUUUUCAAGACAUAAAACUACUAUGAAGGCAUGGUCAAUUUGUGUAGAGACAACAAUUAUUGAUCGAUUUCUAAAAUUAAGGCUCCAAAUUAACAAUGGUUAGGUCAAUAUUUGUAAAAAAAUUAUCUUACAACAACGAUCAGUUAAAAGUUAAAAGUCUAGAGUAUGUGAUAAUUUCAACAUUUUAUUAACCUUUAACAACAAUAAAGAUUUCAAUGUGAUGUUAUAAAAGAGGGUGAUUGAUAUUUUUGGCUACAAAAAUAUACUCUGAAUUUCAAGUUAUGGGAGAAAAUUAUAAUUGUUCAAUAUUGAUGUCCUUACUAAGUUUGUCCUUUCACAUGCACACAUAGAAUUAUGCUAAUAAAUGAGAAAAAUACAUAAUCAUCCCAUGAAAUUUUAUAUUUUUUUUGAAGUAGACACUUUAAGUUUGUAAAAGUCAUAUUACCCCACGAAAUUAUUUCGAAUCACAAUAAAUACACCAUUUUAACAGCAUCUGCAAUCUCAUUACCAGUGAGUGUGUCUCGCCUCAUAUGAAACAAUGUAACAUUAUUUUUUCCUAGCCUUUUAAUAAAGGGUUGGGUAAAACCCAGACCCAUUCAAAAUCUUGACAAUUUUCCUUUUUUAUCUUAAACAUUUUGUACAUAAAUCAUGACGAAGAAGAACAUUGUGAUGGAGAAUUUUAGAAACUCCAUUGCAGAUGUUUGUAGAACUUUAACAGUGACUGAUAGAAGAUGCUCCAUUAUUGGAGAGUUUCAUAGUGGCAGCGCAAAUGCCAUCUUCUUUGUUUAUGGGUACACAAGAAUGUGAUCAAGUUAAGUAAGCAAUACGGGCUCAAUGUGAUCAAAACCCUCUUCGAAGAAACAGGGAAAGAACGACGGAUACAUCAUAUGACCUUCAUCGAUUUAUCAGUUAUCAAACACUAAAUGGUACAAACAUGCAUUAGUCGUUGCAGUCCAAGGUGUAUUCUUCAACUCAUUCCUAUUUGGCGUCACCAAAAUUGGCUAAUUAGAUUGUUGGGUGCUUAGAGGAUGAAGCAGUGAAUUUGCAAACAGAGUUUUUUGAUUGAUAUAGAGAAGAGACUUUUUGAGAACUCUGCCAACUCCAGAAGUUCAUAUGGCAUCUCACGACGUUUAUAGAUCGAAUUAUUGGAUUGACAGAAGAUAAAAAAAAAAAUGGAUGCACAUGGAGAGCUCUUCAAUGGCCAUCAAUGGGGGUUUGUGGAAGAUGGAAAUUGGUCUAUUUAAUAAAGAAAAAAAUUAAAUUGGUGACACCACAUGGCACUAAAACAUUGGUAUAGGGGUUAAUUCUUAGUACUGAUUCACGCGCCUCUCAAACGUGAAAUUGCACAUACUCUGAAAAUGGGUUAAAAGGGUGUAUUUAUCAUAGUUAAAAGUAAAUUCUUGGAGUAAUAGGUCUCUCGCAAACUUUAGGUGUCUACUUCAAAAAAAGGUAUAAAUUUCAUGGCGUAAUUAUGUAUUUUCUCGCUAAUAAAUAACUGAUGCAGUGAAAUUUUUCAUUGAACUUGAUAUAGCCACAAAUUAAAUAGGUAAAAUAUGACUAACAUGCAAGAUAGAUUUGUUGAAACCUUUGGAUCAUAGUGUGUGUGUUUGUACAAAAGAAAAUAAUCCACUAACAUAUAUAUGUAUAUAUAUAUAACCAUUUAUAUUGGGCUAAUUCUUUUGUUAGAAAAAGAAACUUUGAACUUUUAUAAAUUGAGGAUCCAACAAAUCACGAUGUAGUUUGAAGAGGGCUUGUUUAGGGGAGAAUUAGUUCUCUCAAUACUUUUAUAUUCUCUUUUAUAUUAGUAGAUUGUUUAUUUCAUUUCAUAUGUAUGUAGAUCAAUAACAAAACUAUGUUAAAUUAUUCUCUCUUUUCUCCUUUUCUCGAUUUUUUAUCGCUUAAGAUUUACGUUUUAACUUUUGCAUGACAUUUAACUAUUUCGAUCCUAGCAAAAUCCGUCUAUUUCACAAGAGACACCUAUCUGUAAGGGGAUAGAAUUGUGUUCACUCAUAUCCUCCACACAAAACUUUGUGCUGUUUCUAGAAAUGCAUGCGUAUGAAAACUGUCCGCUUCUUUGUUACGUAACACAAUUUCGUCGAAGAAACAGUAUCAACUACCUCUAUUUUGUUCUACAUAUACAUGAAUUUACAUUAAUUAAGAAAAACAAUAGACUUAAAACAGCACUCUUUAUAAGUAAUUAAUUCAUUAUGAGAAGAUACAAGAAAGGAAGAUGUUACUCUUAGUUGACUCCAACUAAUUCAAUGAUUAAGGCUGUGUUUAUGAAUUAUUUCGAGAAAAUAUUUUCAAAAACAUAUGACAGUUCUCACUUUUGGCAUGACUUUUUUAAAAUGUAGAAUGCAGUCAAGCUGAGCUUCCACAUUCAAUUAAACAAUUCAAUGAAUUGUAUAAAAUAUGGCAUUUUUUAACUAUACAGAUUGCCAAUGUUAACCAACAGAGCAUAAAAAAAUACAAACUUCUAAUACCUUGUAUUAACUAUACAAAAUUCAAAUAAUAACCAAACAAAGUAUAAAAUAAUACAGAUAUUUAUACCAGCAUAAUUUUUCCCUUGUUCUGGUAACCAAACGUUACAGCUUUCAAGUUUCAACUUAUAGUGGUCCCAGCAACCUUACAGGGUAUAAUAACUACAAUAAGCCACAUCUGAUGGAAGACAAGGGUAAAAAGAUGCCUCAAAAUGGAGUUGGUACCAAAUUCGAACUUUUGAAACAUUACAGUAGCGUUACCAGGGGUCGGAGCAACUUAUCUAAAAUACACGAUUAUUUGUCUUUCUACAUCACACUUUGUCGAAUGUCGCCAUUGGUUCACUAUGCCACAAAAAAUAGGAAAAUCAUAAGGAAGAAAAUCAACACAAAGAAUAUCUUAAUCAUUAGCCACCGAUUUGACGAGAUGCUAUUGAGGUACUUGAGCAGAGCCCCUUGUGCCCCUUCCACAUUUGUUAGUGUGUCAUCCAUGUUCUCAUCAAUCCUGUGACAGAAACCAAGAUAUUACUUUUACUGCUAAAAGAAUUUGUUACCCACUCCCACCCCCACCCCACUGUAUCUUGAUCAGAAGUCAUAACUAAUGACUAUAUUGUGACUUGUGAGUAUCAGUUUAAUAUCAACAAUUAGGUAGUACAAGGUUUUACACCCUACAGACAACAGGAGAAGCAACAAACUUUAAGUGGAAGGCACCAUUUUACAAGAUUCUAAAUACAGAUAGCUCAAAGUACAAAAAACUUCCAUCAACUUUCAGAUUUUUCUCUAACCAAUCUGGGGGUAAAAGCAGUAAACCUUACUUGCUGAUUGCACAAACAUCAUAUUUGUAGAACAUUUAUAACAUCCAACGCAAAUUUGACUUCAAAUAUUAUCAAUUAUGUACAAAUGAUUUACUUGUAAAUGAAAAGAAGUGUGCCAAGGCCAAGAAUUACACUACAUGUCACAAUAGAAAGAGGCGUUAAAUAAAAUGUGAUGGUGGGGUUCAUUGAGAGUACACACAUCACAUUUUAUGUCAACCACAAGUAGAUAUGCAUAUCAUGUUAAUGACCCUUGAGGAACUUCAAAAGCUCAAUUUAACAAAGAACUUACCAAUUAUUAUUUUAAGAACUGAGAAGAAUUAGCCCGUUUCUUCCAACAUAAACAUGAAAUAAUAUAAAAGACACUAGGUCUUCUAAUCCCUCUAACUAGCAGAUGGUGGAUGCAUGAUCUGAUCCCAUAUUGGAACGUUAAUGUUUCUCAGUCCAAAAGUUCAUGCAAAGGUUAAAAAUCAACUUUUACCAUGCAAAAUAGGAUAUCAACAAGAGAAAGAGAAGACAUCAAACUAUUGAUCAGAGUGAUCAUCCAAAACUAGUGAUUAGUUGAUAGAAAUUAACAAACAAAAUAUUCAUCACUUGCCAUCUCAUAUAUUUAACUUUACGUCUUUACAACUAGGAGACUACAUUGGUGCCAACUGGUUGUACAAAGAUAACUAUGAAAAUACGAUGCAUUGAAAUCUCCUAAAUCCUUCUAUUAUCAUCACCAUUAUUAUUAUUAUUAUUGUUAUUAUUAUUAUUAUAAUAAUAAGAAUUAUUAUUAUUAUAAUAAUAAGAAUUAUUAUUAUUAUUAUUAUUAUUUUUGAAACUGAAAAAAAAAUAAAAAUUAUUAUCUUCAUCAUCAUCUCCUACAUCUGUUUAUUUUCAGAGUGCAAAAACAAUUGUUAUACAAACCUGAUUGCAACCUCCCCUUGCUCAGAAACCAAGGUAGCAAGCUGAUUAAAAAUGCUGCCCAGCUCAUGGAUAGUAGACUCGGCAUUUUGAAAAGCUUCAGCUCUACUCUGCAUGUAGCUGUCUUGCAAUGGAACUAUCUGCUGCUGCUGCUGUUGUUGAUCCUGCAACAAUGGCUGUGUGUUUCCAUCCCCUUGCUUCCUACAAGAGGGGAAAAACUUAGUGAUACUUAAAAAACCCAAAGCGAGCACGAAAAACAUAUGUAGAACAGGGUCUGGUUUACCUUAGUUAUUUUUCCAGAUAAUCAUUACAGUUUGGACAAAGAAAAGUACCGAAGGAUGUUAUUUUUGGGACAAGUAGAAGUAGACAAGGAUGCUAAUAUAUAAAUUGUUUUGUACAUCAGAAGAGAAGCUUCUCAUGUCUGUUUUCUUUUUAGUGCACCCAUGAAAUUCAUAUUUGUAUAGAUGGUUGGGUGUUUUCUUUUGUAGAAAAUCAUAUUUUGCUGCAGAUUUUUUACUUAUUGGUAUACUGCUUGGUUGCUAGCAUAUGAGAGUUCUUCCAACCAUUAAUAAUAUUAUUCAACUUAUUAAAAAAGUGAAUGACCAUGUGACUUACAGCUACACUUAAAUCCAAAGCUAGUUGGGGUCAGACAAGACAUAUGAAUCCCCAUUGUCCAUUUAGACUCAUCUCGUGCCAAUAUUCUAUAAAUUUAGGCUUUCUAACCCCAAAAAUACACUACAUUCUCAACUUGCACACAAACCCCCCAACAAAAUAAGAAAAACUCUUAGCAAAUGUUGGACUAAUUUGACUGUACCAAUAAGAUUUAGCCUUACGCUCAACUAGUUGAGAAUCUUUUUCUUCUAUUAUACUCUAUUUUUUGCCAAGUCUGCAUGGAUUUUAAGAGAUUGUAGAUCUCUCAAAAUGACUUCCUUUCUAUGAUUUUAGGUCUAACUUGUUUUGUAACAUCUUCAACACCACCAAAACUAGCCUUUGUAGGCUCACCUAGGCCCUUUGACAAAGCAGGAACCAGAAUAGAACAAGGCAAUAAAAACCUCCACUAGUGACAUGCAUUUAUUUCAAUUGCCUACAAUAAGAUGCCUCCAAUGAUGAUAACUCAUCUUUACACUCCUGUGUCCCUCAGCUACUUCGUUUGGACGUUAUAGGGCACCAUCUGUCGUGGUGGGGUCAUCUUUAUUGACCAUAGCACAAACACCACCACCGCUGCCUCUAUUUUACUUAACUUUAUACUACAUUGUUAUUUGUACUCCGUAAACUUAAUAACCAUCACUGAGUAUUGUCAUAUUCAAGUAUUCUAACAUAUAUAAUACUUUUUGAUCAACUUGUGCCAUUUGACAAAAAAUGUGGCUAAAACUAUAAAAUUUAUUGAAAUAAUACAAAUUUGGCUAGAAUUAAAAGAGGGAGAGAGAUAUUAAGAUAAGAUCAAAUAGAUAACCAACAAAUAUAGCAACACGAGAAGAAUGCACAAAGCUCCAACACAGGCAGUUAGAGUAACUAGAGAGUAACUAGGUAAUAAGUCAAAAGAGUGUAAACAAUACAAUCUUAGUAUACUGAUAGAAGAUAAAUAAUGAAAUGAUAAAAGGAGGCCCAUGGGAGGAAACAGACAAGGGAAGAAUAGUGUGUGUUGUGGGUAAGGGGUAGGAGUGUACCAUUUAAAUUUCUCAUGAUUUUAAAGCAAAAGAUCAUGUGAAACCAAACUUCCAGGAGAUCAGCCCCCAAUCAUUUUAACCAGAUAGAGAUCAAAACUUCCGACCACUUGAACUGUUACCAAACAGCAUUCAUCCAAACAAGGUGUGUGUCUUAUUCAAUUUCACCAAUUCAAGAAUAUAAGUUUCAUGGAAGAAAGGGGUUGAGAAAAAUUUGGAUUUAGUAACAGAUCAGACAAAGAGGAUAAAUUAAAGGUACUUAGUAUUAUCAUAGAUCAUGUUUGGAGAAGCUAUUAUACGGACUGUCCAUUAGUUAACUCAGGGAGACAGAUUAGGCCAUAGACUGAAAAGGUUAUUCCCACGAGAGGAAUAGCUCUCUUUCAACCUUUAACAAAUGAAUCAUUUGUAAUUUCUUUUUGGCAUCAACAUAGGUAGAUCAGUAAUCAUGUCAAGAUUACCAAAAGCAAAGGUUGGAAAGAAGAACAGACUCCUAGAGUUUCAUCUAUUCUUUUGAAUUAGUUAAAAUCAUUAAAAUAAAAAUAUAGUAAGCAAGACAUUCCCAUAAUUACAAAAGAAACUUAUGGCUACUAAUAUGUUCAGUGAUAGCAGGCCUGUAAGGCAUGAACUGCUAAGACGGUGUAUUUCCUCACCUUGGAAAUAACUGAGAAGAGGAAGGUGAAUCAUUAGCCCAAGGAGGAGGGCUGGCUGAUGUACUAGCAGUAUUCCUUGAAGCUAGUGGACGCUGGCGCAUAAAUGGAUUCGAAGCUUCUUUGGUAGUCGAUGAAGAAAACAUCUGUCUUCUGUUCUCAUGAACCUUCAUAUUCUGGAAACAGAAAUUCAAGAAAAUGUAAAUGACCAUGAUGAAGUGUGUUUUUUCUACUGUUAACGACCAAAAAGUUGAAGGAUACAUGUAGCCACAAAAAAAUAGUAAAUAGAAGCCUUCGCUAAAUUGAGACUCACAAAAGAUCUAUUUGAGUAAGAAAACAGGCUAACAGAGAAGAUAUAACCAGCAUCUGGCUAGUCUCACCUCUGUCCGCAUGGUGAGUACUUCUUUGAACUCCUUUGUGGCAGUCAUCAGCCUGUUCUUCAAGUCAUCUACAACAGUAGUCGAGUGACUAGUGGUAUCACUAUUACCACUUUCAUUACGAGCAUUAGAGUGAAGCUGGAGAUCUACUACAGCAGAGUUAAGUGCUGUAAUAUCUUGCUUGAUGACUGCAGUCAGCUCCUGGAUUUCUGUAGUCGGAUCAUCAAAAACGGAAGUCCUUUUUGCCACUGGAAUGAAACAUAAGCCACUAUUAGAUAAAGAUCAGAAACCUUGGCCCUGAUUAUAAUCACAACAUAAAUAAGUGUCAAAGAGCCAAGGCCCUGGUAUAAACCAAUAAUAUGUUUAAAAAAUAAAAUAAGGGCAACAUCUCUCUUUUACAGUUUGACAAGAAACCAAAGCAUAAAUGGUCAGGUUAGUAGGAACAUGAAAUCUAGGGACUUGAGAAGAAGGUUAGAUUUGAGAUAAACUUGAACAAGAAAAUCCAUUAUGGUCCUUGAGGACUUGAGAAGAAGGUUAGAUUUAGCCUAAGUUGCACGGACUUUUCACUUUCAAUGCCGCAGCCAUGUCGGAUUCUCCAAAAAUACACUACUUUAGGAGAAGCCGACACGCACCCAUAGACAUUUUUGAAGAGUUCAAGCAACAUCAGAUUUAGCAUCUCAUUACCCAAAUUUCCUUAGCAUCCAUAAGAAAGAUCAAUUGCCCAAGUUUGCACGUAUAUUUCCUUUUACAUAAAUUUCUAACACCGUGCUUAAAUCAUUAUACACAACAAACUGAACUGCCCCACGAACCCAUGAUGAGAAAAUAUAAAGGGAGGUCAUAACUGGGGCCUGUAAGGGAACUGUGUAAUCUAGUACGCCAAAAUUGAUGACUUUGCCACUUCAAUAGGCAAAAGGAAUGUCUUAAAGCAUAGAAAUUCUGAAUAAAACUAGGCGUGAAUGUUGUUUCUGAAUAAGAAGGAAAAUGCAUAAGAUUUGACCAAAUAGUCAAAACAUACUGAAAUGGCUAAAAAGAAAACCCAAGGAGUAAAAGAAAGAUAGCAAAGUCAAACCACUAAGGUAAAAGUCAAAUCUAGAAACAGAACAAAAAAGAUUAACUUCAAAGCACCAUAGAAUAAAGUAUUCCAUUCUUCACAGAAUACUAUUAAAUGGGAUUUGGAUAAGAAAAAUGAAAGGUCAUAUUAGAAGAAACAACUAACUUCAAAAUCCAGAAAGUAACAGGACUGAAGUUGGAAGAAAGCUUUUCAUCUGUGAAAGCUCUUAGCUGCUUUUCCACAACUCUAAUGCUUAGCAAAUCCAUAAAAAUGGAAGAUUCCAAGUUAAACACUGUCAUUUACCAGAUUAUCAUUUUACACAUGUUUUUUAUAAUAAUGGUGGCAUCAGGACAGCUUAGCCAGCUUAUGUGCAACUCAAUUACUCCAUCAGGUUCUGCUACCUUCCACCAUCAUACGUAUCAUUGUACCAGAUAACCUAUCUACCAAGACUUAACCAGAAAAGAAGAAAAUUACCUAGAGUGCACUGAUAUUGGUCCUCUGAAAUGGUAAAAUAAUCUACCAGACAUAUACAUGGGUCACUGCAAUAUAAAAAGAAUUUUGAACAGAGACCAGAAAAAUUUGAUCCGAACUCCGAUAUUUCAGCUAACGUUCAUUACUGAUCCAAAAUUUGCAGAAAAAUGAGAAGAAACCUCAAUUUUAGAAGAAGAUUUCUAAUCAGAGAAAUCAAAAGAACAUUUAAACCCCGGGACUGAAGCUAUAAAAAUGAAACCUUUUCAAAGAAAAUCACCCCACUUAGAAUAUCCCACCAAGUGAGUGUUUCAGAAUCUCUUUUCUAAAGAACAACAAGUGCUCUGUAAUGGAGAAGAAUUAUAUGUGCUACCAUCAAGUUCAUUGGAUGCACAUUAUGACCCAACACUCAAAGGCUAAAACCCAGCUCACAUCAGCUAAAUUAAGCUUAUAUUAGAAUGAAACCUUUUCAGAGAAAAUCACCCCACCUAGAAUAUCCCACCAAGUGAGUGUUUCAGAAUCUUUUUUCUAAAGAACAUCAAGCGCUCUGUAAUGGAGAAGAAUUAUAUGUGCUACAACUAAAAGCCAUCAACCUUAUCAAAAAAAAUAAAUUAAAAGCCAUCAAGUUCAUUGGAUGCACAUUAUGACACUAACACUCAGAGGCUAAAGCCCAGCCACCUCACAUCAGCUAAAUUAAGCUUAUAUUAGCAACAAAAUUGUAAAUCCUUCAUAUCACUAAUCAAAACUUAAUAACUUCAAGAGCGACAAAUGCAACCACAACCUCCAUAAUUAUACAUUUCUUAGCAGUGUGGUUUAGUGUGACUUCAUAUUUCCUCCCAUAGUGGGAUGACUCGCAUGAUUGCUAGAAUGAAAAAGUUAAUAAUCUCGGUAUUCCUACUUGUAUAAAGGAUUGAGAGGCUGUUGUAGAGAAUCGUGUUUUGACGUAGGUUCUCUACUUCUGAUAUACCUCUUGUAAUCAGGAAUUUUUCUUCCCACUGUUAAUUAUACUAUUUAACUUGUGAAAAGAAAUCCCAGUGUCCCAACUACGGUGUUGAAGCACCAUAUGUGAAAUCUCUAAUCUACAGACUGAUCCCAAAUACAAGUAAUUUCGUUUUUUUUAAAAAUACAAUUUGACACAUCCGAAAUUUAAUCAGAAUUACUAUACUAACUACUAUGAAAGAUAUAAAAUGUUCAAGAAAUUGUAAGGUUAUCCAAAUAUUGAAAUAGUUGUAUAAUGGGACAAAUGGAGUACAGAAAUACUCCUCCAUUCCAAAUUUGUUUGCUACUAUUUAAGAUGGCAAAGAACUAAAUGGGACAUAGAACAACUAGAAACUCCAAAACUAUGCCUCAACAUCAAGCUAGUUGGAGUGGGCUAAUGAUAUAUUUUGAUUAGUUUUAGUUUGGUUGCCGACAUACAGCUACCCUUCCUCUUUUAGCCGGGCUUGGUACAAUCUCACAAACAAAUAGGAUAUAGAGUGAAUCCUUAAUACAAAAUGAAGUAUCUGAGAGACUAAGAGAUGUCCUAAUAUUGGCUUACGUUUUGCUAGCUUUGCAAGCUUCUGAGAAGUUUGAUGUAUUCCAAAACCAAUUUUGGAGGCUCGCCGAUUGAACUCCGAUUGCAUAGCAAUAGUGGUCCUCUGUUCCUCCGAUCUAGAACCACUGCUGGUGCUGCUGCUAAUCGGCCCAUUCUGAACAGACGAAAAUGACUUCUUUAACCUCUCCGCUAUACUCUGAAACUCCUGAGUCCUAUCCCGUAAUGACGCACUCGCUACUUUCACAGGCAUUUUCAAUAAUAAUCUCCGAAAAUUAUAACUUUCAAUACACUAACAAAUCGAUCCGAGAUCAAAUCAAUCUAUGCUCCUCAAUUAUCAAAAAACAUAGAGAAUUUCACAUGCGCAUUCAAAAACCGAUUGGAUCUGAAGAGCCCUAGAAUUGCGAGAUCCAGAAAUCUUCUCCGACGAAGGUGAGAAUGACGAAUACGUGAUGAAAACCCUAGAUCUUGCGCAGAGAGAUUUAGUGAUUGUUCGAUCUGUAGGGGAUUGAAGGAUUUGCAGAUCAGAUGAGGAACAUUGAGGGGAGGAGGGAGCCCAUUUGAUCCGGAAAACGAUUCAGAAGCUGGCGGUGCUAGGAUUUAGGAACGAGGUGAGUUUUGGAAGAAAA
rnacentral:lncRNA from 1 species